GUAUACAGCUACUUGUCUUGUGUAUUGACUGACUAAUUGUAGUUAGCAUGGCACGUCAGGCAGACCGUCUUGCUAAGAUUGGGCUGGAGGGCUUUGCAGCCAUAGAUGAGGCCAAGAGGCGGCCACCAGUUAUGAAGGUUCCCUAUGCUCAUCCCACAUAUUACUAUGCAAACCAAAUUCCUGCAACAGCAGUUAUCGACAGCAACGAGGCAGCUCGACGCUACAAGGGGAGGGUUUAUAUCGAUUAUCCAAAGGGGAAACCAGUUCCAUUUUAAAGACCCAGUGAUUAAUCACUUUGCUUUCUUGUAUGCAUAAUCUCCUCCACUUGUGUUACCUUUAGUCCUGUACGAUAUUCUCCCUCUGCUAAACGUAGACGAGGAGCUUCUCUUACUUCUUCAAAUAAAAUUUCUGUGAUUUAUAUAUCAUAAUUUUCUAUUUGGCUGGUCAAGUAUGUAUUGUCAUAAUUAUCUUUCUGACUUCCUAAUUAUCACCUGAUUCACCUCUUACUUAGCAUGGAAUUGAAAGAUACACAAGUAAUUUUCUGUUGAAAUGCUUUGAAGCUCUUCAAGCUGUGAUUUCACCGACUUAUUUCGGAACUGUACAGAGCUCAAUGAUGAGCCGUGGGAAGCGUCUCUGAUUAUUGCACUGUAAGCACGAGUGUACGUAUGAAUAUAAACAGCAGAUCUGCUCCGUUAUUGCCAUAUGCUUAAAUAGAUCGCAGGAUCCGCAAACCACAGGUGAUGACAAGCUUCUUAAUAACUAUUAGAAAAUAAUAUAAAUCAUAUCUUGGACCCUCAUCUAACAACUUAAAUUUUUGGGUUGAGAUGGUUUUUUGAUAUGGUAUCAAAGCCUUGAUAACCAAGUAGUCAUAAGUUCAAAUCUCAUCAUUCUUAUUUAUUUAAUAAAAAUUAAGCACAGGGUAAAGUGGGUCUGUGCAAGUUUCAAACCUAAAAGGCUUUCACUCGAGGAGAUGUGUUAAAGAAUAAUAUAAAUCAUAUCUUAAGACCUCACCUAAUAAAUUAAAUUUUUGAAUUAAGAUGGUUCUUUACAAUAACUUCUAUUCUGACUUCAAUAGUGGAUUUAAGGAUAGAAAACCUGUAGGUUUGUGGUCAAGGAGGUUGGCUCUCUUCCUUAUAUUUUUUAUUUCAAACUUUAAUAACAAUACUCAUAUAAAUUUAUUUUUUCUGAAUGAAACUUGUUAAUACAAGAGUGUUAUUUUGAUGAAAAAGAAAAAUCUUAUUUUUAUCCCAUCACACCCCACCUAAGAAAUUAUGUAAUUAGUUAUUUCUAUAAGCUGUUCCAGAGAAUAUAGUCUUAAAUCAUUAUAUUUUACGACUCAUGAUUGUUUUUUUAAUAUAGCUGGGCUAAGAAAGAAAAAUAAACGGAGUUCUAUCUGCAUUUACAAUAGAAUUUUACAAUAGUGAACAAUAUAUCUAGGAAUAUCAGCGAUGAUGACCAUAGAUGGAUCAUGUGUGAAUUCUUAGCAAAUCAUUACUUGUAUAACCAAAAUUUCCUUCACAGCUCUUUUACUAAGCUGAUUGUCGAUGAAAAGUAAAGGAAAAGCAUGAUUCCCAAUCCGAGCUAUGUGAGCAAGUGUAUCUAGUAAAAAUAUCUCAUCUCCCAAGAAAACGAGAUUAGUAAGCCUCCCUUUAAAGCUUUGCUUUGCACACCUUUUCUUGAUCUUUCCCAAUCCUUCAUUAUAAAUGGGACCCAUCAAAAACAUGAGAUGUGCUUUAACCUCCUCCAUAUUUCAUCUUAGCCUAGAAGGAUAAACAAGAAUAUUAUUGCUUCUGAAACAUAACGAUUGCAAGCAUCGCCUUUCGGUGAACUUUUGAUGACAUGAAACUGCCACAAAUUGGGUCCUAUUCCGAGUGAGUUUUCUUUUUCUGCUCUGUUAUCGCAUAUAUACAACUGAAAUCUUUAAGUCCUCUUCAGGGUACCCCUGAAAGAAAAUGGUCUAUCAUGGAAAGUCCUGAGGAAUCUGAGGCAUAUAAUAUGAGAUAUAUAUCGUCCCAAGAUCAUAAAAAUGAUAAAUCUUAAUCUUAUCAGGUGUAGCCAUGAAAUGGGAUCAGAACCUAUUUUCCUAAUUUUAUUAACUAAAGGGAAAGCCACAACCAAGUCUCUGUACUAUAUGAUUGUCCAUUAAUACAGAAUCUAGCACAUCCUUGAGUAGCUAAAGAAAGCUAGAAUAAAGUACCUCUAGCAACAUCUUCACUGUUUAUUUUCUAAUAGUUUUGUUUUGUUAAAUCGCACUUGAAAAUACAGAACCUGUUCUUGAUAUUUCAUGGACAAUAUUUACUCUAGUUGUGCAAGUAACGUAUACACAAAUACCUGUAAUAUUGCAUCAAAAUUCAAACUAACAACAGUAUGUGUAUACUUGUGGAUAUGGAAUCAGCCAGAAGUGGAGAACCCCAUAAAUCUUGAAAACCUCUGUUGAUUGUGAUGGGUCCAAAAAGCAGAAAGCAAGUUACAAGCUGCCUGCUUUCUGCUAAUAUAUAUAAUGCUGCAUAUAUGACCUAUUUUGUACCAAGGCAAACCAUACAGUUUUAAUUGUUCUUUGAGUUAUAGUGUUAAUUUCACAUAUGGCACGUCAGGUAGAUCGUCUCACAAGGAUUGGAAUGGAAGGCUUUGCUCUGAUUGAGAAUAGUUAUGGCUGGCCUGGAAGGUCUGGAAGACUCCCCUCAACUCAGGUACAGCAAAAUCAUCAUCACUAUCAUCAUCAUCAUCAUCAUCGUCAAUACCAAGAUCAGCAAACAUUGGUUUAUCAGGGAACUCAAAUUACCACGGUGAGGAUGCCUGUGAUCAUUAGCAAUGAGGUAGUUCAAUACUAUGGUAACAUGGUGAAGAAGCCUGUUAUUCCUAGCAAUGAGGCAGCUCAAUAUCAAGGGGGUGUGGUGAAAGAGCCUGUUAUCACUAGCGAUGAGGCAGCUCAAUAGGAUGGUAGAAAGAAACGAUUUCGUUUAGAUUAUUAGGUUUCAUGAAUUUACUGAACAUGCUUAAUGUCAUGUAUGAGUAAUCUGAGUCACUUGGUUCUUAAAUCUCCUGGUUUCUUACUCAUAGAUAAAGCAACUUGGUCUGCUAAAGAACCUUGUAAAUUUUAUCUUUAGAGCUCCUGUUGUCACGCAGUUUUCUUAUCUAUAACGUAAUCAGCUUUACUGUAACUCUUUAUGUCUCUCUCUCUCUCUCUAUUUUUGUGUGUGGGUUGUGAUGAUCUUUCUUACUUCUGAUAAGCCAAAUGAUUCUCAAAGCACACCUUGGAAAACAACAGCUAAGGCAAGGCGAAAUGAAAGCUAAAGCUAGGAAUUAAAGAACAAAACAACAUAGAAUAUGAAGGAAAAAAUGAAUAAAAAAACGAAACAACAGAAUUAAAAAAAUAAAAAAUUAAAACAAAAGGAAAUUAGCCAAAAACAAUUGGAAGAAAAUUACUAUGGUAGGAGUUUAUGUUAAAAGAAAGAUAGGUGUUGUAUAAUAUCAAAAAUAGUAAUGCAAAGUCAAAACUCAAUAAGAAGAAGAAGAUUGAGAGAAACGUAUACUUUUAUUAAGUGUUUCUCUCUAAACUCUUUUAGUUAUUCUCUCUGCUUUUAUUCUUUUUAAAAAUGCUAAAUUACAAGUCUUUUAUAGGUAUAAAGUCCUAGAUAAUCAAGGAAUUAAACUAAUACAAGGAAAUUCUAAUAUGAACAAAAAUUGUAUUCUGCCUACUAGCUAAAUCAGUCGACUAGUUCCCAACCAGUGGAUCGGUUCCUCUAUUCUUCAUAAAAACAAGAAAUCGAGUUCAAUUUUCAAAACCCCUUUCUAAACUUGAUUUCUUCAUAACUCGCACAAAUCUCUUAUUUUGGUAAAAACAUCAUAUUCAACUGGUUUUGUGAAAAUAUCUGCAACUUGCUCUUGUGUCUUUACAUACUUGGCUUCAACUUCUUUGUUUGUAAUGCAAUCUCUUAGGUAAUGAAAUCUUGUGUCAAUGUACUUAUUUCUGUCAUGAAAAACUUGAGUUUUAGCUAAGGCAAUAGCUAAUGAGUUGUCCACAUAAAUCUAUGUAGACUUCUCUUAUGGGAUCCGUAAUACUUUCAGUAAUCUUAUUAGCUAUAUGGAAUGACAAACACAUGAUGUAGUAGUUAUAUAUUUAGUUUCACAUGUUGAUAAAGUGACUAUAGAUUGCUUUUUUAAACACCAUGUGAAUGUUGUGUCUUCCAUGUAGAAAACAAAACCAAUAGUGCUCUUUUUAUCAUCCAUAUCUCUAGCUCAAUCACUAUCAUUGCAACCCACAAUAUCAAAGCUAUUAGAAUAUCCAUAAAACAAGCCAAAAUCAACAGUACCUUUGAUAUACCGAAGAACUCACUUCAAAGCUUUGAAGUGUGUCAUAGUUGGUGUAUCCAUAGACCUACUCCCAAGUUCUACUCCAAAAAGAACAUAUGAACAAGUGCAUGUCAAAUAUCUCAAACUCCCAACUAGGCUUUUGAAUGUUGUAGAGUUUAUCUUCUCCUCUUCAUCAUUCUCUAUUAUCUUCACUCCACACUCAACUAGAAUAUUCUUUUUCGCACAAUCUUUCAUCUUGAACUUCUUGAGAAUCUCUUGGCUUACAAAGAUUCCAUCUUCUCCUUGUUUGAUCUCAAUCCCUAAGUAAUAUGUCAUAAGACCAAUGUCUAUCAUUUCAAACGCCUUGAUCAUUGUUUGCUUGAAGUCUUCAAACAUCUUUGGAUUAUUUCCUAUAAAGAUUAAGUCAUCCACAUACAAACAUAUAAUAAGAGUAUCACCACUCUCUUUGAUCUUUACAUAGAUAGCAUAUUCAUAGGAACAUUUAACAAAUGCAUUCUUUAAGAAAAAGCCAUCAAAGUGACUAUAGCAAGCCCUUGGGGUUUGCUUCAAUCCAUAUAAGACUUUGUUCAACUUUAGUACCUUGUCUUUAUGUCCCUUCACUUCAUAACUCAUAAGUUGCUUAAUGUAGACCUUCUUCUCAAGAAAACCAUUAAGAAAGGCUGAUUUGACAUCCAUUUGAUAGAUUCUCCAUCUAUAUUGGGUAGCUUUGGCAACGAUUAAUUGAACGGUCUCCAAUCUAGCAACGAGAGCUAAAACCUCAUCAUAGUCAAUCUCAUACUUUUAGCUUUCGCCUUUUUUCCACUAACCUUUCUUUGUACCUCUCCAUUUCUCCUUCGGCAUUCUUCUUUUCUUUAUAGAUCCACUUGACACCUAUUAGCUUCUUUCCAUUUGGUCUACGAACCAAUUUCUAUGUGUCAUUCUUCUUAAUUGAUGCAAGCUUCUCAUCCAUAGCGAUUCUUCAUUUUUCAUCCUUUAUUACUUCUUCAAACAUUAUAGGAUCACUUGUAGCAAGGUGAUAAUAUAGUGUUACAUCAUCAUCAAUAGGAGUAGUUACCUCAUAUAGCUCAUCAAGGCUCCACAUUCUUUUUGGUGGACUUGAUGGGUUGCCACUACUUGAACUUUCAUUAGAAAAAAAAAAAGAAAAGAGAUAAAGGUAAAGAUGACACCAUUGGUGAUUAUGGAGGUGUAGUUUGUUCUUGAUGAUCUUCAUAUCUCUCCUUCCCUUUAUCAGAACAGACAAGGCUUCAUCUUCUUCUUUCUUCUUCUUUUAUCUUCUCUCACAGGGCCAUUUCUUUUUCUUUCUCUUCUCUUCUCUCUAUCUCUCCUUCUUAGCUAAAAACAAGCAUUCUAUUAUCUUCUCAUCCUCAAGUACGUUGUCUUUUUUCAUUUUCUUUGGGUUUAAUAACAAUCUAUUUUCUUUUGUUUUGUUUUUCUUUUUUUUUUCCUUUUAAUUAUCAGUCGAAAUUAAGCAUACCAUUAAGGUUGGAAUUUUUCAUUCUUUUCUCUUCCCCUUUUUAUGUUUUUUGCAAUAUUUUUGUUUUUUGUCAUUAUUUUUGUUCAAUUUUGUGUUCUUAAUAAUUUUAUGAAUUAAUAAAUGUGUUGAAUUUUAGUUGUUAUUGAAAUAUUGCAUUAUUUUGUUGAAUUUUAGCUAUUUUUUUUUCAAAUUUGUUGUUCAAUUUUAAUUAAAUGUGUAGGAUUAAUUUUAAUUAUUAUUUUGUAUUUAUUCCAUAUAGAAUAAUUUUUUGUAAAUUUAGGAUUAAAAAUAUUAUAACUUAGAAAUAAUUGUGUUGAAUUUUAGUUGUUAUUAUAAUAUUUUUUGCAUUAUUUUGUUGAAUUUUAGUUGUUUUUCUUUUCAAUUUUGUUGUUCAAUUUCAAUUAAAUGUGUAGGAUUAAUUUUAAUUUUUGUAAAUUUGAAAUAUUUUUUUUUAAAUUUAGGAUUAAAAAUAUUAUCAUGUAGAAAAUGAAAAUUUUCUAUGAAAUUUAAUUAUGCUAAAUUGUUAGAAGAAAUUGAAUAAAAAUACCAGGCCUAGUGGAAGAAAUAUGUUGUGUAUUUGUAGGUUUAAAACUUUUGGGUAGUCUUCUGUGUAGGGGAGGUGCUGCCAAUUGUUUUUAAAAAAAAUACGAAUCAUUUAAUUUUUUUUAUUCAUUAAUUUGUGUAGAUGCCUAUAGAAAAGUCUAAUGCACGUCAUGAGGACAAGAUUGCUGCUAGUUCUUCUAGUAGCGAUGCUGACGACCACGAGUCAUUAGGUGCCAAUAAAAAAUAGGAACUUGAGGCACAUGCAUCAACUCACGACGCGGGCUUGUCGAGUGCAAUGUUGCAACGUCGAGGGGGGGUCCCUUCACAAUGGGAUCCAUUUACUUGCAAGUAUGAGGCCUAGUGGAAGGACGACCUUUCAAUGUAAGUUUUGCUUUCGCAAUGACAUGUUUAAUAAAUUUUCAAAAAAUAAUUUCAUUUAAUGAAUGCAAUUUCAGGUUUAUAAAUAUUGAGGCUGCGAGAACAAUAACAUCGAUCUAAAAUCAUCGAUAGAAAUUUCAUUGUUUUAAUGGAGCUAGGUUUCCAAACAUCCUGAAUGGAAACUGCAGCUCAUUGCAUGAUUUUCAAGGUUCAAGGUUGGUAGUAACUUAAAUAUUUUUUUAUGUUAAUUUGGUUAGUUUAUUGAAAUUAUUGAAUUUUUUCUGAGAGAGUUGGAAAAGCAUUACUGCAAAUAUCACUUCUACUAUUAACUCAUCGACGAAAUUACAGAUGGUAUUCUAUCGGUGAUAUGUUAUAUUUAUCGAUGGAUAUACCGAUGCACAAAUAAAAACACUGAUGACAUUGCAUACAGUAUUCCUGUUUGUGAUAUGUUAAAUUUACCAAUGGAGAUACUGACGGAAUAAAACAGAUAAUUUUUUUUUGGCGUGCUUUGUUUGUCUAUAAAUUCAUUGGUAUAUUUAUUACCGAUGGACUCACCAACAAACCAUAAAUUAUUGGCGAGAGUUUUUUCGAUGGACUGUCUCCAUCCGUGAGCCCGUUGACAAUAUACAUACCAAUGGACUGUGAGUGUGAAUACUGACAAAAAUUUCUGUUAGUAAAAUUGUUAAAUCUAGUAGUGAUUGCAUGAUCCACCGCUAGAAGUGAUGAGUACAAGUUAUGACCAUUUUAAGUUGUUGUUUCUGGUCUGACAUGACUAGACCUUCUCUUGGACCUAGACUUGUCCUACUAGUCUAUAAAUAUAUAUGUUAGAACAUCCAUAUAAUCUGUCUAGAGCAGAUACUCAUCUAAUUGUGGCAGACCCACAUAUGAUAGCUCAGAAUCACCUGUUAUUGCAAGCCCAACUACAUCAUUAAUGGUUUCUCAAGGUAAGUCAUGAGGAAUUUGAAGCAUAUAAAAUGAUAUAACUUGUCCCAAUAUCAUAAAAAUGUUAAAAAAAUGUGAGUAUAUGAACCCAUGAAGCGGGAUCAGAAUCUAUUUUCCUAUUGUUAUUAACAAAACGGAAAGCCAUAACUAACUGUUUGUACUAUAAUAUUGGGAGUGAGAGGUACAAUGUCCAGAAUGCUUCUAAGGAUAACCAUAUGUCCAUAUCCAUAAGAUCUCAAUCGAUUGCCCCUUACUACAGAAUCUAGCACAUCCUUAAGUAAAUAAAGAAAGCUAGAAUAAAGUGCCUUCACUGAUUAUUUAGCAUUACUGAGCAGGCCAAGUCUUCACUGCUUAUUUCCUAAUAAUUCCUUAUUGUGGAAUUGCACUUACAAAUAAAGAACUUGUUAUUGAUAUUUUCGUACAGAAUUUCUCUCUCGAUUAGUCGGUCAAUAAUGUAACUUCGUUUAUUCGGAUUUGAGGCCGGCCAUGAGAUGGAGAGGUUGUGUCACAUUAAUUAUGUCAUGUUAUAUGGAAUCAGAUUCACCAUUAUUAAACUAAAGCGUCUCAUCGAUUCUACGAAACUUGUCGAAAGGAAUCAUUUGUUCAAUAAUUGAAUGCGAUUUUUAUCGGGUUCACCUGACGAUCCAACCUCCAUCCACAAAUCCGGAUCGAAUUCCGAAUGGGUCAAAAUAUCGUCCCCGUAUCUCUCCCUCAACCGAUUAUUAUAGGUCUCCUGAAAAUAAAAAAAGUAAUCAUCAUAUUCAAUUCAAUAAACAUAAUAACUUACAAAAUAAAAUGGUUGAACAAACAUACCAUGAAAUGUUGAGCACGGUUAUCAACGAACUGUUGCGCCCCCUUUUGGCGGUCUUGACUCCGCACGUGCGUCUCCACAAACAGCUCCAUCGGGCUUGGCUCACGUCCAAGAGACGUAGCCUAUAAUGAAAAAAGAUUUAUUAACAACUUAAUUUAACGAUAUAUUUCAUUUAAAUUAAUCUUACCAUCCGUUUCGCAUGUGUAGCAAACGGAACGGAGCCGCCAGUGUGCGUUGUUACUGAGCCAUGAAUUGGCCGAUUCCGGUUGCCAACACCGGACUGUGAGCGUCGUGUAAACCGCUCAGACAUCACGUGCUCAAGAUAGUGCGGCCAUAUAUCUUUUGGGAUGUAUAUCGGUUUGAAAUUCCUCCAAACCGUAACAUCGUUCCAGCCUUGGAAACCCCUAUCUCUAGCGGUUUUUUUUGCCCUUUUUUGUGCUUCAUACCAAAAAUCACGCAACCAAAAAUUACAUUUCGAAAGAUAAAUUUUUGUCUAAAAAACAUCUUGUAUUGUUUUCGAUGUUACCUAGUUGCCGCGUGAUUUUCCCACACCCUCCUCGCAACAGUGUUAUGCUCACUGUCCCAGCAGAAUUUGUCCUGUGUAUAAAUAAUUAAUUUUAAAUAAAAAUAAUAAUUUAUUUACAAUUAUAUUAAUAAUUUAUUAGAAAUAAGCUGAAAAUUAUAAAUUAACACCAACCUCAAAUUUGUCAAACCAUGCAUUGAUUUGAGGCAUCCAUUCAGGAUGCUUGGAUAUCUGACUCCAUUGAAACAAUGGAAUCUUCAUCGACGAUUUAAACGCCGAUGAUAUUACUCGGGCAGCCUCAAUGUUUGUGAACCUGAAAAUAAAUGAAAUAAAUUCAAUAGUGAUUACUUCAUAAGUUAUGUUGUAAUUUUUUUUAAAAAAAAAAACUAAAACCUUAACAAACUUACAUUGAAAGGUCGUCCUUCCACUGUGCCUCGUACUUGCGGGUAAAUUGAUUCCGCUGCGAAGGCACGCCGCCUCUGCCCUGUGAAGUAGCGCUGGAAGAGGCAGCAUUGGUUGACGACGCAGGUGGUGUAGGUGCCUCUUCUUGAGAGGCACCUAAGGAAAUAUCAUCCUCGCUGCUAGACGAACUAGUUGCGACCAUACGUGAGCGACCAGCUUUGGUUUUCAUUCUACGCACCUACACAAUUUUAUACAAAUAAUUAUAUAAUUAAAUUCAAAUGUUAAAAAAAAAUUCGACAGCAUCUCCCCUAUACUGGAUACUACCCAAAUCUACAAACCUGCACAUAUUAACAAUAGCCACAACCAAUUGACCCAAUCUAUACUAACUAUUCCAACAUAUUCAAUUACUAAUCCUAAGGUAAUUCAACAUUAAGAAUUACAAUUCAACAAAUUAUUCAAUAAUUAUGCCAAUACAACAAUAAAAUAUAUUCAAUAAAUAAAUAAAAACUCUAGACUAACAAUUAAAAUUAAUGGAAAAAAUUAAACAUAAAUCAUGCAAUAAUAGAGUAAAAUUAACAAUUAUUUCAAAAUAUUCAAUUACUAAUACUAAGGUAAAUUCAACAUUAACAAUUACAAUUCAAAAAAUUAUUCAAUAAUUAUGCCAAUACAACAAAACAAUAAAUUCAAAAAAAACUCUAGACUAACAAUCAAAAUAAAUGGAAAAACUUAAACACAAAUUAACUAAUAAUAAUUAUGCCAACACAACAAUAAAAAAUAUUCAAAAAAUUCAAAAAAAAAACUAUAGACUUUAGGAAUCAAAUAUGCUUACUUUAAUAAUGUGUUGAAUUCAAUACUUUAUCUACAUUACAAAAAAUACACCAAAACAAAAAACAUAACAAAAAAAAAUAGCAAAAAAAAAACCCCUAAAGUAAAAUGAAAUAGAAGACACACAUACCUUUUAAACUGAUGAAGAUUCACAAGAAAACUUGCUAGAGAUGGUAGGUGAAAGCUUUGAAGAAUGGAGAGGAAAAAAAUCGAAAUUUAAGGUGAAAAACGGAGGAGAAGAAAAAAUGAACUGAAGGGGCGGUCGCUGGAACUUAUAUGGCAGUUUUACCGACGGAUUCACCGAGGGAUAUAAAAUUAAUUAUUAUUUUAAUUUAUUCUGUCAGUGAAGUGUCAAAAAUCCGUCGGUAAUUUUUAAAUUUCGCACCAAAAUUUUUAAUGACCCUCCAUAUUUUUCGUGGUCUGUCGGUAAUUUCGUCGGCAAGAUGACGCGGUCAGAGAUGCAUUUAAUGCACAAUCUUUUGGAAUUCGCACAGUCCGUCGGCAAUUUUGUCGGUAAAAUUGACCUGCCGACAACUUACCGACGGACUUAUAUCCGUCGGUAUUGUCGUCAGUGAUUGUGGCAUUUCAAGUAAUUAUUUUCGAACUCUCUGUGAAAUGCCGACGGACUUAUUCUGUUAGUAUGGACGUCGGUGAUUGUGGCAUUUCAAGUAAUUAUUUCAAGUAAUAAAUAUUUCAUGUUACAAAAUAUAUCAUUCAUAAUCUAAAUUACAUGAAAAAAGGGGUUUUACACAGGGCUUCAUUUUGAUAGUUAGUCAGAAUUUUCUUCUUCUUUGUCCUCAAUUGAAUAGUCAUCACCUUUAUCGCAAUCUUCAAUAUGGAUAUCAUCUUCUUCAUCGACAUUUGCUUGUCCGCUAGAGCUCAAAACAGCAUUCAACUCCUCUACGUGAACAUCAACAAGACUAUCAUCGAAAACAUGAAAAUUUGAAUUUUCUUCCAAUUCAAUCGAAUGAGCAACUCAAUAUGGUUCAACCACCUCACUAACUUGAAAGACUUCAUCUCGCACACUUGUGUCUUCGUUCUCAUCCUGAACAACCUCGACACGACCCCGGGGUUUUGUUUUUAAAACGGACAACCAAUCCACUCUUGAUCGAUCCUUUCUAAAUGAAGGGGUGUAUGUGUAAUAAACUUGUUGACAUUGCUUUGCGAAAACAAAGACAUCGUUUUUGUUGCGGAGUCUAGCUUUUGAGUUGAUUUCGACCAGACCAUAGUGCGGAUCAACUCUGAUUCCUCUGUCAGUCGUGUCAUACCAAUAACAUUUGAAUAAAAACACUUUAUUCUACUCGUUAUGAUAUUGCAGUUCGACGACCUCUUCUAAUCUACCAUAGUAGUCAACUUCUAACUCACUACUAGUGGAUCCCUUAACACAAACACCGCUGUUGUAUGUCUUUCUUCCUUGCCCGUAUUCUUCAGUAUGGAAAACAUAUCCAUUGACAAAAUACCCGUUGUAGCACUUACAUUUUCUUUCAGGCCCCAGGCUUAGUGAAGACAAUGACUUAGGCGCACUCCUUCCCAUUUGAUAAACCUUGUAUGUAAUGUACAUCAAUAAAUAGUAAAUGAACGAGAAUCUCAUAAUGACAUGCAUACGUACAGUAAUUUUGCAAGUUAGAAUGAGUUUGUGAUAGUGCUUACAUGUGUUCUAGACCACGUGACAAAGUGUUCAUCUUGUAAUUGAAAGAUCUGGGAUUCGGUCAGCUAUGAGUUAUUGGAGAGCAAAUAUUGUCGAUGUUGCCUGCAAGUGAUAAUGAGUGUAUGAUAUUAUAAUAAAUAAUUAAUAGUAUAUUACUAACAAAGUUUAAUUACUAUACACAUAUAUAUAUAUAAACCUUACUGAAUAAAAGGUCUCAGCUCAUCACAGUUAAAUAUAACAUAUUUGUGUGCUUAUUUGAACUCUAUUUCCGACAAAUAUCUUCCUCUUACGCCAUUUUUAGGUGUGGGUCGUCCAGUGUUAGAGAAUAUUGACAAGUUUCCACUGGAAGGCACUUCACCGCCAUCAUCAUACCGUGGAACGCGAUUGAUUCUCAUUCUUAGAUGAGGUUCGAAAUAGUACGAUAUAAAUGUUGAGAUCUCCUCAACAAUAUAGGCCUCACAUAUCGAAGCCUCAACGUGCGCCUUGUUCUUAACCUUUUUCUUGAGAUUAAACAAGUACCUGCAUUGAAUUAAUCAAGUAUUUUCAAUUAAGAAAAACAUAGAAAAUACUUUUAUAUAUGAAUUACAUUGCAACUGUAAUAUCUAACAGUUCGAAUGGGUACAUCCAUCUAUAUUGGACCGGUCCUCCAGCUUUUGCCUAGAACGGUAGAUGUAUAGGGAGAUGCUCCAUUGAGUCAAAAAAUGAUGGAGGGAAUAUCAUCUCAAGUUUGCAUAGUGUCUCAACGAUAUUCGUUUGAAGCCUCUCAAUGUGCUCAACAUUCAACUUGCUGGAGCAUAUAUCUCUGAAGAAAUGACUGAUCUCCGUAAGUGCAUCUCAUAUUCCCUUUGGCAACAAAUCACGAAAAGCUAAUGGGAUGAGUGUUUGCAUAAACACGUGGCAGUCAUGACUCUUCAUUCCAUACAAUCUGCAGUCCUCUAUAUUAACCAGCCUUGAUAUGUUUGAUGCAUGUCCAUCUAGAAAACGUAGACUCUUAAGCCAUUUAUAGACUAGCAGUUGUGCGUUUUUCUCUAACACGAAGCUUGCUCUUGGUUUUGCGACCUGUGACUCAUCAUAAAACAACUCCAUAUUUUUACGGUUACAGUAUAAAGCUAUAUCCAAUCUAGCCUUGAUGUUGUCCUUUGUCUUCCCCUUCACAUCCAUGACGGUGUUGAAAAUGUUCUCAAACACGUUCUUUUCGAUGUGCAUGACGUCAAGGUUAUUGCGGAGCAUAUUGGUCUUCCAAUAAGCAAGCUCCCAAAAGAUACUUCGCUUUACCCAAUUAUGGGUCAAACCAAAACCAGGAAACUUUUGCUUACCUGAUUGAAGGCCAAACACAAUGUCACCGUACUCUGAUACAACAUCAUGCAAUUCUUCACCAGAAAGACGCGGGGAUGCAACAUCUUUUUCAACUCUGCCAACAAAGAAAUCUUUUCUGUUCUUUCUAUACCUGUGAUUAAGUGGCAAGAAACGACGGUGACAGUAAAAAAAAGAAGCUUUACCUCCGUUUGCUAGCGUGAAUGCCUUGUUGUUUUCCAUGCAGUAUGGACAUGCGAGUUUCUCAUGCGUGCUCCAACCAGAAAGCAUUCUAUAAGCUGGAAAAUCAUUGAUAGUCCACAUCAAAGCAGCCCUCAUAAGGAAAUUUUGUUUCCUCGAUAUAUCAUAAGUCAGAGCUCUGGAGGACCACAACUGCGCCAACUCAUCAAUCAACGAUCGAAGACAAACAUCUAUAUUCCGCCCUGGGCUGCUUGGACCGGGUAUGACAGUAGAUAAAAACAUGAACUCCGGCCUCAUACACAUUCCCGGUGGCAAGUUAUAAACUGUGAGUAUGACCGGCCAACAAGAAUAAGGAGCAGCAAAUGACCCAAAUGGGUUGAAUCCGUCUGUACACAACCGAAGACGCACAUUCCUUGAUUCAGCUGAAAAGUGAGGAUGAAGACUGUUAAAGCAUUUCCAUGCUUCGCCAUCAGAAGGAUGCACCAUCACUCUAUCAACCGCAUUAUGUGCUUGGUGCCAUGUCAUGUGCUCAGCAGUCCUUGGUGACAUGAAUAACCUCUACAGUCUAGGUGUGAUCGGGAAGUAUCUAAGUUUUUUAUAUGCCACUAGAGUCUUUCCCCUGCCAGUUCUCGGUUUGUAACGGGAAUGCCCGCAUGUCAUGCACUCUGUCCUCUCAGCAUUUUCAAGGUAGUAUAACAUGCAGAAGUUAGGGCACAUGUCAAUUUUCUGGUAUCCUAAACCGAGGGGUUUCAUCAUGGACUUCGCAGCAUAGAAGUUCUCUUUCAGCCUGUCCCCUUCAAGUAAAAUUCUUCUCACCCAUUCAAUAAUGUUGUCAUACCCGACCUCACUCAACCCGUGAUCUGACUUGAUGGUGAACACCUGUGCUAGGGCCGAUAAUUUACUGUGGUUCGUGCAGCCAUCCCAUAAUGGUUCAUCAGAAUCUUUCAACAAAUCAAAAAACCUAGCUGCAUCUGCAUUAGGUUCUUCUUCUACGAUUCGACAUUGACUGACAUUACCUUGAUUCAUUCUCAUUGCAUCCAUAACUAUAUUUAUGUAAGGAUUAGUGUUGUCAUUUGCCGCUUCAUGCACGUUGCUAGCACUAGAAGUAGACCCAACCACCGUUUCUCCCAUUCUCCUCUUACUAACAAAUACUUCUCCAUGUGCAUACCAACACUGGUAAUUCUCCAUAAACCCUUUGUGUAGAAGAUGCAUCAUUACAACAUCUGGAUGCAGAUAUUUUUUAUUUUGACACUUCCUGCAUGGACACCUAAUACCGCCUCUAGUAAAAUUUAUCGGAAUAGAUGUUGCGAAAUUAAUAAAACCUUGAACCCCGUUACAAUAAUCAAUCCUCCGCAAUCCUUGGGGUGAAUCUCAAUACAUCCAUGAACGAUCAUCCAUGACUUAUAUCGAACCUCUAUAAAAUUAUGAUGACAUCAUGUAUUAAUUAACUAAGUUAGGUAAAUAAACUUGUAAAAAUAUUACUUUACCUCGAGAUUAUCCAACAAACCAAUCACAACUUCUCAUAAAUAUUAAAUAUUCAUUAUCAUUUAUCAACGUCCAUACAAAUUAAUAUAUAUAAAUUUACAGAAAUUACCACUCUGCAAUACCAUUAAUAAAACUUUAAACAGACCCAUUAAGCAAGCUAUUAAUUAUUUCAAAACAACACAUGUAAUUCAGUAAUUCCAUAAAGUUUUAACAAUUUACAAACAAAUACAAUCUUACAAAAUCUAAAACAAACCAUAACAGGUAUAGAAUUAUACAUUCAUAUACUACAAGUUUGUUUGAGAAAUAACAAUAAAACAUGUACAUCUACUAACAAAAUACAUAUACUAAAAAAACAAUAAAAUUGACAUUUAAAUGUUAAAAUUUAAAAAGAUAGAAUUACUUACAAAAAUUGAUAAAAUCCGUCGGUAAAUCAGAAUAUGGAUGUUGUGACCACAAAACUUUCAAGAAAUAUAACUUGUUGUGCUGAGAUGAGGGAGAUUUUUGUUUGGGGGGGGGAGGGGGGCUGGUUGUUUGCAGAUGGGGAGAGUUGGGAUUAGGAAGAAGAAGGAGAAAUAGGGGAGGAGAGGGUCGGUAGAGAGGGCAUUUAUUAACUUUUUCCGACGGUUUCACCGAUGAAAUUAUCAAUUGAUGAGUCCGCCAGCUAUUCUGACGGAAAAAUCGACACGUCACCGUAUGGAUCUUCCAUUUCGAAUCCCUCGGUGAUUCCGUCGGUAUUUCAAGCAGUGAACCGGUCACGUCACCGUACGGAUCUGCCAUUUCGAAUCCCUCGGUGAUUUCGUCAGCAUUUUAAACGGCGAACCGGUCACGUCACUGUGUGGGGUUGUCGUUUUGAAUCCGUCGGUAAAAAUAACCCCGCCAAAACCUCUACGUUUGCGACCCGCCUUUUUUUUUAAAUUCAAAACGUUUUCCGUCCGUAAUUCAGUCGGUAACUACCGACGGACACUUGUUGUCGGUAGUUACCGACUGAAUUACGGACGGAAAGGUUUUUGUCGGUAAUUUCGACCUCAAAUUACUGACAGAAAUAUUCCGUCGGUAAAUCCGUUGCUAUUGAGUGAAUUUCUAGUUGUGAAAGGGGCGCAUACGUACCACCCAUCUGUGAUCUCAAUCCAUGGCCAUUCUACGGGUUCAUCAUAAUCCGCAUAGAGUCGUUCAUAUUCUUCAAUGAGAUGGGUCGUAUGUUGUUCCAAGGUCGCGAACUCCUGAGACUGGGUGGUCAAUAUCGAUUGCAAGCUCCCAACGGUUGAGACACUACGGGCCACCUACAAGUUGGUCGUGGAGUUGGAGAGUUUGUACACCUGAUUUCUAUCGGGUCCACCAGAUGAUCCUGCCUCCAUCCACAAAUCCAGAUCGAAAUCCAAGUGGGUCGAAGGAUCGUUCCCGUAUCUCUCCCUCAAUCGGCUGUUAUAUGUCUCCUGAAAAUAAAAAAACUGAAAUCAUCAAAUUUAAUUCAAGUAAAUAAUAAUUUACAAAAGAAAAUGGUUGAACGAACAUACCAUAAAGUGUUGAGCGUAGUAGUCAACGAACUGUUGCACCUCUUUUUGGCAGUCUUCACUCUACACGUGCGUCUCCACAAAAAGCUCCAUUGGGCUUGGCUCACGUCCAAGAGCUGUAGUCUGUAAGAAAAAAAUGUUGCAAGUAAAAUAAAUUUAUAAAUAACAACAAAUUAAUUAAAGAUAAAUGUGAUUAAAAUUAAUUUUUUUGUUAUUUUUUAGGCUUUGUUUGGAAAAACAAAACCUAAUUUUUUUGUAAUAAAACUGUCGAAACAAGCAUAAUGGGGUGUUUGCCAAACACACCCUUAAACCAAAAAACCCUUUUAGCAAAAAUAUUGCAAGCUAAACAGGGUCUUAACCCUUUGACCCAUUCUUGACCCAUCUGGGUUGACCUGAUCGAGUUGACCUGACUGGGAUGACCCAAAAUCUUUGGUUUCAACCAUAAAUCGAACCAAAGAUCCUGGUUUGACCCGAAAACAACUCAAAAAGAAAACAAAAGCCAAAAAACAGAUUAAACACCAAAAAACAUGAAAAAACUCGAAAAUAACAAAUCAAAUGCAAAAAAAAAUGAAGAACACGAAUAACAUGAAAAACAUUAAAACUCAAAUUCUAGCAACAUGAAUUCUAAUCUAGACCAUAUUUCAGGAAAUAAAAAGCACAUAAAGGAUGGAAAUCAAUCAUUGAACAAUAAUUAAGCAUCAAGCAUCGAUGAUUAUCAACCAAUAAUCAUGAUUGAGUCAAAAUAGGUUUUGGUUCAAAACCAAAAUCCUAUGAUUAAAACCCCCAUAAAACUUGUUAUUGAUACAAAUGAACUCUAGACUACUAAUUAAUCAAGUCCAAUGAAGUGUUUAAUGCAAUGGACCAAAACUGGUCCAAAACAUAGAUAUAAGCCAAUGUUUUUCCCAAGAACAUAGAACACUGCCUUAGAAAACCCGGCUAUUGUCAAGCCACCAAAACUGGCAUUUUCGACCACUAAAACAUGCUUUCUUCGUUUCAAAAAGUCACACUACCAUAACCAAACAUGUUUGAAUAAAAAAACUAACAAAUAACAUUAAAAUCAUGCAAGAGGUUCCAAACUUCAAAACUACAAACUUAAAAUAGCCUAUAUAUUUAUGCAAUUUGGAUUCAAUUUUUUUUCCUAAACCUUCAAUAAGACCCAACCAAAACCUAGAAACUAAGAACAUGCAUCAGCCAACAUAAAAAAACAUCAUAACCUUGCUACCACAUCUAGUAGAUUUCAAAAGUACUUUAUUUCAUCAAAACUCAUCCAACAAACAUCACCUAAGUAUUCAGAGACAUUAACAAACAACUCAAAUCAAGAUUUAAACAAUAAAACAACUUUUUUAUGUAUUAAUCAAAAUCAAAACUAAAGAACAUCAUAACAGUAAAGCAAGUUUGAAAACAUCAUUAAACAUGUAAAACAAGUGACUCGACUAACUCGGAAGGAAGUUAAGUUUGAAUGGUCAAAAGAGUGUGAAACAAGUUUUCAAGAGUUAAAAUCCAGGCUAACUUCAACCCAGUAUUGGCUUUACCAAAAGGACAUGAGGGAUUUGUUAUGUAUAGGGAUGCUUCCAAUAAGGGUUUGAGUUGUGUAUUUAUGCAGCACGGAAGGGUAAUUGCUUAUGCAUCUAGAUAGUUGAAACCACAUGAGAUAAACUAUCAUGUACAUGAUUUGGAGCUGGCAGCUGUGGUGUUUGCUUUGAGGAUAUGGAGACAUUAUUUGUACGCGAUAUAGGAGAUGGAUGGAGCUAAUCAAAGAUUAUUACAGAUCACAAAAGUUUAAAAUAUUUGAUGUCAUAAAAAGAAUUGAAUAUGUGAUAUAGGAGAUGGAUGGAGCUAAUCAAAGAUUAUAAUUGUAUUAUUGACUAUCACCCGGGGAAAGCAAAUGUGGUGGUAGAUGCUCUAAGUCGGAAGAAUAAAGCUUUUAUUAGUGGUUUACUAGUGCUAAGUGAGCUAAAUGUGCAUUUGGAUGUGACUUCAGGAGGAAUAUUACUGGCAACAUUAGUGCUAUAAUCAGAUAUGAGAGAAAAGAUUCGAAAAGCUCAAGGUGAAGAUCCUGAAGUGAUAAAAGAAAUGAACAAUGUAAAAGUAGGCCAAGACUCUUUAUUUCGAGUGUCAAAAGAUGGGCUAGUUAUGGGAAACAUAAUAUAUUUACCUGAUGAUAAGGUUUUAAAAAGUGAAGUCUUAAAAGAAGCUCAUGAGUCUAAAUUGACGAUCCAUCUAGGGAGCACGAAAAUGUAUAGAGAUUUGAAGGAGAGUUACUGGUGGCCAAAAAUGAAAAGGGAGAUAACAUAAUACGUGGCCAAAUGUGCCAUAUAUCUACAGGUGAAUGUAGAGCAUCAAUGGCCGAUUGGAGAAUUACAAUCUCUUUCGAUUCCAGAAUGGAAAUGGGAGAAUAUCACUAUGAAUUUUGUAUCUAGCUGGUAAGGACUUGAUGCCAUAUGGGUGAUCGUGGAUAGACUGACAAAGUCUUCUUUGUUUUUGCCUAUGAAGAUAGGGGAUUCGGUUGAAUAACUAGCUCAAUUAUAUAUUAAAGAGGUGGUGAGAUUGCAUGGUGUACCAGUUUCUAUAGUUUUUGAUAGGGAUCCUUGGUUUACAUCAAGGUUAUGGCCGAGUAUACAAUGGGCUUUGGGUACCAUAUUGAAUUUAAGAAUGACUUUUCAUCCACAGACUGAUGGGCAAUCUGAAAAGACAAUUUAGAUUUUGGAAGAUUUGUUAUAGCUUGUAUUCUAGAGUUUGGAGGUCAAUGGGAGGAUCAUUUGCCAUUAGUAGAAUUUACUUAUAAUAAUAGUUAUCAAUCUACUAUUGGCAUGAAACCAUAUGAAGCAUUGUAUGAAAGGUGAUGUCGAACUACAGUACGUUGGGAUGAAGUUCGGGAAAGAAAAUUAUUGGGAUCUGAACUGGUGCAGAUCAUGGUUGAUAAGGUGAAGGGGAUAAAGUAAAGGAUGAAAGAAGCUCAAGACCGGUAAAAGAGUUGUGCUGAUAAUUGACGGAGACCUCUAGAGUUUCAAAUUGGAGAUAUGGUAUUUUUAAAAGUUGCACCAUGGAAGCAUGUGAUUCGGUUUGGAAUGAAAGGCAAAUUAGCACCCAGGUAUAUCGGGCCAUAUAAAAUUAUAGAAAGAAUUGGGAUGGUUGCCUAUCGAAUAAUCCAAUCCUUAGAUUGAGCUGAAAUUUUACGAGGGACUUUAAAAUAUAUUGAAUAAAAUUUGGUUAAAAUUUUAGGAUGAACAGAGCUCGGUGUUGCUUAAAAAAAAUUAGGACCUUCAAAUAGAAGCAAAAUGACUCAUUAAGGGUAAAAUGAUUAUUUGCCAUUAAAAAUAAAACAAAUCAGCUCUCCUUUCCUUUUAUAUGCUGCCGACUGGGCAGAAGCAGAGUGGGAAAAGAAGAAAAGAAAAAAAGCGAGUGAGAAAGAGAGAAAAGUAAGGAAAAAAUAAGAAAAGUGAGAGAAUAAUCUUGUAAACUUACAAAGUCCAACUUAUAAAACACUAAUCUAAGGAAGAAUCAAGUGAAGGAAGGAGGAUUUGAGAGAGAGAAUUUGGCUAACCUUGGGAGAGAAGAGAAAUUGGAAGAAAGUCAAUUAGUAAGUAUGAGAAGUUUGGAUUUAAUGUUUGAUUUAGAUGUUUUUAAGCUAACUCGAUUAAGUUAGGAAGUAAUUUCAUGGAAUUUUACUUUAAUUUCCCUUAAAUCCUUGAUUCUUGAACUUAGGAUUCUUAUGGGAAUUUGGGGGAAUUAGAAAGGGAAGGAAAAAUGAUGAAGUAAGUGGAAUAGCAUGAAAACAAGUUGAAAUAACAAGUAAAUGAAGAAAAAUUUGGGGGAGGAAAAAGAAGAUGACAUUUGGCCAAAUGAAGGAAAAGUGGAGGAAUGAGUUUUGAUGUUAAUGUUUAGGAAACUAUGUUUAAUCAUGAUAUUUGAAAUAUACAAGAAAGACUAAAUGAAGAAAUAACAUUAAAGUUGAGAAAAAUAAGUAAAUUCAAUUUAAAAGAGAAUUGAACUAGUUAAAAAGAAAGUAUGAAGACAAGAUGUUUAGAUUGUGUUUGAAUAUAGUUCUUACAUAUGUUUAGAUAAAAUAAAUAAUAUGAUGUGAAGGCAUAAAGAAUAGAAGGAUUAUUUGAUGGAAGAAUUAUGAACAUAAAGUAAGAAAAGAAGUCAAAAAGGUCAUUCUCAGUCUUCACACUUCAUGCACAAGGAAAUAAUAUGUUUAAUUCGUCAAUCGACUCAUAGCCAACACUGUAACAAAUGUUUGGGAUGAAGGGAAAAGUAUAGAUUUUUCUCAUUAGAGAAAGAAACUGCAUAAAAUGUGAAUGCUGUAAUUAUUUUCAAAGAACUUAACCAUAAAUCCACCCUUCUUGCAAGGAACAAAGCCUUCUUCCCUAUAUUUUCAAAGAAUGCUAUAAUUAUUAUGGUGAAUCAUGCAAGCAUAUCCCACUACCAGAAAAUUGAUAAAUACAAACGGAAAUACCGAGGGAAUAUUUCCGUCGGUAAAUUUCCGAGGGAUUUUACCGACGGAAAUAUUCCCUCGGUAUAUACCGAGGGAAUUACCGUGGGAAAAAAAAUUAAAACAAAGCAAAAAAAAAAUGAUGACGUGUCAUUUUUACCAACGGAAUUACCAACAGAAUUACCGACGGAAUAAAUUCCGUCGGUGAUUCCGUUGGAAAAUUUGUUGGUAAAUUGUGAACACUGUUCAUCAUGUUAAUUACAAAGGGAAUCACCGACGGAAUAUUCCGUCGGUAUUUUCCAGAGGGAAAAGUCGUCGGUGUUAUUUGGCGGUUUUCUGAAAAAAUUCAAUUAAUUUAAAAUUUUCAUUUAAAUAUUACAGACGGAAUCACCGACGGAUUGAAAAAUCAUCGGUAAUUUUUUGGCGGUUUCUGAAAAAAUUUUACGAAAUUGAAAAUUUAAAUUAAAUAUUACCGAUGGAAUUACCGACGGAAUAAUUAAAAAAUAUUAAUAUUUAAUUAUCCGUCGGUAAAUCCGUCGGUAAAGCGUCCCAAUAAAAAGCCUGAAUGCCCUUAUUUCACAAGAGACAGACCCGUUUCUUAUUAUUAUUCUUCUUCUUGUUCUUCUACUUCUUCUUCUUCUUCUUCUUCUUCUUCACUAUAUGUAAAAAACAUCAUUAAGGUAUGUCUUCUUCUUCUUCUUCACUUUAUGUAAAAAACAUCAUUUCUUAUCUAUUUCUUUCUCUUCUUUUCUCUCCUCAUCUCCUUCUCUUUUCCUCCAUGCUUGGAUAUGUCUUUUUCUUCUUUCUUCUUUUAUCCUCUUAGUUUUUUUUUAAUUAAUAUGCUUAAUGAAAUUUUUUUUCUCUCCUUAGCUUCACUUGCAACUACAUUAAGGUAAGAUUUUUCUUUUUUCUUCUUUUUUCAUGAUUUGUUUCACUAUAUUUGUUCUUUAUUUUAUUUUUAAUUGUUUUUGUUCUUAAUAAUUGUAUAAAUGUUGUUGUGAGAUGUUUUUUUCAUAUGAGAUCAAUUUUUAGUAGAUUUAUUUAUAGGAUUUUUAAAUUUUUAGCAAUUGCAACUUCAUUUUUUUCAUAUGAAUUUUUUUAGUUGAAUUUAUUUUUUUAUUUUAUUUAUUUGUUGCAAAUUUGUUUGAAUUGAUUUUCUUAUUCUUUUUUCCAAGCAUUUUGAGUAUAUAUUAUACAGUGUUAAUUUAUGUCAAUUUAAUUAUUUUAUAAUUUUAUAAAAUGAAUUUUUUUAAAAUGUUUUUCAAUAAUUACCGACGGAAUUACCGACGGAAGUUCCGUCGGUAAUUCCGUCGGUACAUCCCUCGGUAAUUCUGUUGGUAAUAAAAAAAUUAUUACCGACGCGUCUGUUCCGUCAGUAAAUCCAUCGGUAAUUCUAUUACCAACAGAUUUACCGACGAACGAUUCACCGACGAAUCAUUUCCGUCUUUGAUUCCGUCGGUAAUAUAAUUACCGAUGAAAUAUGUGUCUUACACCGACGGAAAAAUUCCGUCGGUAAAACUGUUAAAUCUUGUAGUGUCCAGAAUGAUUUGAUAUUUCUUAAUUGAAUUUUGGAAAAGUCGUGAUACUUGGUAAAGCCUUUGGAUAGUUUCUCUGAGAUGUGAUGGAAUUAACAACAUAUUGAGAAUAAUAAAAAAGAAAAAGCAACUGAAUCAAUGAUCAAAAGUUGUGAAAAUUAUAUCUUUCUUUGAAGAUUUUGAUUUUGACCACAGUGAACCUAUAAGCUUAGAUAGAGAGGGCUUCUAUGAUUUCUAUAUAUACGGACUAGCUUGGCUUCAAACCAUAUGUACAAGUCAAGCUCAAACUCAGAACCUACUUAAACUGUUUCUUCUUCUUAUUUUUUAGUGUCAUUUUGCAAAUGGCUCGCCAAGCAGAUCGCCUUUACAAGAUUGGGUUAAAAGGGUUUGCACUAAUAGACGAGUGGUACGGGUGCCCUAGGAGGUCUUCAACUCCUCAAGAGCACCAUCAGCAACGAUAUGAUUAUGGUGGAAUCCAAGUUCCCAUGAUGAAAAUGGAUGUUAUCAACAACAAGGAGGCAGCUAAACAUUAUGGUGGGGUGGUGAUUAUGGAUUAUCGAAAGAAAAAAUUACUCUAUUGAGCUCUUUAGUGAUAAUGUAUUGGGCCUUGCUUUGCUUGGUUAAGUUAAUUACCAAGCAUAAUUAAGUCGUUUUUAACUUUAUUGUUUUCUUCUUCUUUUUCCUAUGUUUGUGUGUGUGUAUGCCAAUUGUUUUAGAGUCAGCUACUCCAAAACAUGAAAAAGUAUGAGUGCCUUAAAGUGAAUUGUUGCACCUCUUAUUUCUCUAUGAUUACGAUUGUUGGGUUUCUUGAAAUACAUGACAUAGUGAAAAUAGUUUUUUCAAGUCUCAUGUAUCUCAUUAAACAACAUAAACUUAUUUAAGAUUUGUGCGAAAAUUGUAUGAAGAUAGUUCUUCCUCCUAGAAUUUGAUCAACACUUGAAGGCUGCAUUCUCGUAAAUCAAGUCCUUACUUGAUUUUUCUAAAUCUAGAAUUUUAAUCUCAUGUGCUAAUUAUAUUAUAGUUUUCANNNNNNNNNNNNNNNNNNNNNNNNNNNNNNNNNNNNNNNNNNNNNNNNNNNNNNNNNNNNNNNNNNNNNNNNNNNNNNNNNNNNNNNNNNNNNNNNNNNNAAAAAUGUAUUAUUCUGUAUUUGUAAUCUUAGUUUGUUUACUUGCAAUUGUUAUGAAUUAUGUGUGUUAAUGGGAAAGAAAUGAGCAUGCGAAAUGUGAGGCAUGUACCAUGAAUGAUGUGUUGUCAAGGUUCUACAUGAUUAUGAUAUGAUUGAGAAAUGAGUAUAACUAUACAGGAUGAUUGUCGAUAACUUGGGACCUCCAGGUAUAAAGGAAACUCUGCCGAAAUUUCAGUGGAAAUUUUGGCAACUCUCGGAUAAGUUCGGUGGAUGAAAAAAAAAAAUACCCAUUUUUUUAAAAGUUAAGGCUCAAAGUACUUUGAUGAAUGUACUAAAUUACAGGGUGUUACAAUUUCUGUAUCGGAUUCUUCAAGGAUAGUUUAAAUGUCUCAAAAGUUUAAAAUUUAAAAUAAAUUUAAAAAAAAUAAUUAGGAUUGCUGUUUUGGAUUUUUCAAGGAUAGUUAAAAGUCUUAAAAUUAUAACAUUCAAAAGAAUUUAAACAAAGGAAUUAGGAUUUCUGUUUUGGAUUCUUCAAGGAUAGUUUAAANNNNNNNNNNNNNNNNNNNNNNNNNNNNNNNNNNNNNNNNNNNNNNNNNNNNNNNNNNNNNNNNNNNNNNNNNNNNNNNNNNNNNNNNNNNNNNNNNNNNUCGCCGCGUCGCCGCGCACCCCGCUAUAAUUAUUAUGGUGAAUCAUGCAUGCAUAUCCAGAAUGAUUUGAUAUUUCUUAAUUGAAUUUUGGAAAAGUCGUGAUACUUGGUAAAGCCUUUGGAUAGUUUCUCUGAGAUGUGAUGGAAUUAACAACAUAUUGAGAAUAAUAAAAAAGAAAAAGCAACGGAAUCAAUGAUCAAAAGUUGUGAAAAUUAUAUCUUUCUUUGAAGAUUUUGAUUUUGACCACAGUGAACCUAUAAGCUUAGAUAGAGAGGGCUUCUAUGAUUUCUAUAUAUACGGACUAGCUUGGCUUCAAACCAUAUGUACAAGUCAAGCUCAAACUCAGAACCUACUUAAACUGUUUCUUCUUCUUAUUUUUUAGUGUCAUUUUGCAAAUGGCUCGCCAAGCAGAUCGCCUUUACAAGAUUGGGUUGGAAGGGUUUGCACUAAUAGACGAGUGGUACGGGUACCCUAGGAGGUCUUCAACUCCUCAAGAGCACCAUCAGCAACGAUAUGAUUAUGGUGGAAUCCAAGUUCCCAUGAUGAAAAUGGAUGUUAUCAACAACAAGGAGGCAGCUAAACAUUAUGGUGGGGUGGUGAUUAUGGAUUAUCGAAAGAAAAAAUUACUCUAUUGAGCUCUUUAGUGAUAAUGUAUUGGGCCUUGCUUUGCUUGGUUAAGUUAAUUACCAAGCAUAAUUAAGUCAUUUUUAACUUUAUUGUUUUCUUCUUUUUUUUCCUAUGUUUGUGUGUGUAUGCCAAUUGUUUUAGAGUCAGCUACUCCAAAACAUGAAAAAGUACGAGUGCCUUAAAGUGAUUUGCUGCACCUCUUAUUUCUCUAUGAUUACGUUCUUGGGUUUCUUGAAAUACAUGACAUAGUGAAAAUAGUUUUUUCAAGUCUCAUGGAUCUCAUUAAACAACAUAAACUUAUUUAGGAUUUGUGCGAAAAUUGUAUGAAGAUAGUUCUUCCUCCUAGAAUUUGAUCAACACUUGAAGGCUGCAUUUUCGUAAAUCAAGUCCUUACUUGAUUUUUCUAAAUCUAGAAUUUUAAUCUCAUGUGCUAAUUAUAUUAUAGUUUUCAAUUUCUAAAACUUAUUUACAAUCAAUUUGUUAUUAUCUACUUUUGACUCCACAAAAAAUCAAGAAAAGAAAGAGAAAAUAGAAAGAGAAAAUCCAAAAUACAAGAAGAUAUACAUGAAAAAAAAACAUAAAAGAUUACUUAAGUUGAUGGUGAAGGACCAAAUUACAUGUGGAAAAGUUGAAGGACCAAAAUAUACAAAACUACUAUAAUUAACAACUCAAUUCCAAUUGACAAAGGGCCCCAUUGGUGAAAAUAUUUCUAUUAGGGUAAAGAAAUACAAAUUUGGAUAGGUAAGGACUUAAUGAGAAUUUUGGAAGGCUUAAUUAAUUUUAUUGAGGACUUGAUUACUGGGAAAAUCAGUUUUUAGAGUCAAUUUGGGUGUUAAUUGAAAUAAAUUAAAGUCCAUAGACUUAAUUGGUUUUUUAGGAGGUUUAAUUGGAUGAAUCAAGGGCUUAAUUGUAAGAAUAUUGAAGUUUGGUAGGUAAUUAGGGACUUGAUUGAAGAAAUCUAAAACCAAGGACCAAACUGAAAAAAGGCGCAUGACUGUAGAGACUAAAUUUGACCAAAUUAGGGGCCAAAUUGAAGAAAAUUGAAAGUUUAAUGGUCAAUUAAGGGUCCGAGUGCACAAAUUAGAAACUAAGGACCAAGAUUAAAAUGGCGCUGAACUUUGAGGUUGAUGAUUGAGCUGGACAAGGGUGAAAUUACAUGAAAUUAAGAGUUUGAAGGACAAUUAUAGGUGCAAUUAAAACAAAUUUGAAGAAUAGGGACUAAAGUGAAAAUUUUCAAAUCCCAAAUAAAAAACCCUAAUUUCUAGGGUUUAACCUAGAUGAUGCGUCGUUCGACCAUUGUUUAGUUUUUUGUUGGCAAUUUUGGUUGAUCGAGUAGGCACCUUCAAACGAAUGAAUGUGGCGUUUCCAACCACUUCUAGGGUUGUAACCACCACCAUUUAAUUGAGAAACACCCCAUCUACAAAGAUCAACUACGACCAUCAAGCACUUAUAUCCCAUUUUCUUUAUCGAACUCAACAACAUCUUUUCCUAGUUAGCCAUUACUACAUUUUCAAAUUCUCGGAUAAUCGAGUUGUCGCCUUCAACAAGUGAAUAUGGGGCUACAGACAUCCAAAUUGAACAAGAAUGGACCAAAUCGAAAGGUGUGAUUCUCCUUUAUAAAGUUUAGGUGGUCUCCAAUAACAUUUACGUUGGAGUUGCUCUGGCGUGGCCUCAAAAUUGGUCAACUUAGUCAGUCUUGACUAAGAUACCUAUUUGUACAAAGUCAUUCAACUUUUUCGUGUGUUCACACUUAAAAAAUUUUAGAGGGUUCUUAUCAAGGGUCAUAAAUCUCAUCCAUAAUCAGAAGGUGAGGGAUGCAUGCCUUUGUCUCCAAGAAAAAAAAAACCUCCUAGGUAAUUUUGUUAGAAAACCAUUGUCCCAAAACCAUUGAAAGACAAAGGUUCUGAUUGUUAACAUUUGUCCAGAACUCUCUCAUUUUGAUCAAAGAACUAAGCUUUGAUCGAUCUAUAUUUGAAUCCAUUAAACACCCUAGCAAAACCCUAUAAAUACCCCCUGAAAAAUAAAAAUAAAAAGAGAGAGAGGAAAAACAUGGAAGAAACACACUAUGAAAAGAUCCUGGUGUGAAGGUUCAAGAGCCUAACAUAGAGGGUCUAACAAGCUUUAGAAAAAAUAUAGUGAAAGGGAAAGAGGUAAAUAAAAGAGAAGGAAAAUAGUUCAUAGCUAGCAAGCUUGGAUAAGGUAUAAAUAUGUAGAAAUUCAAGCGUGGAGUCCAUGUGGCCUUCCUUUUCAUGCUUUCUUAAUGUUUAAACCUCUUUUGAUGUUGUUUGAGCUUGUCUUGCAUUUUUUGGUUUGAUUUUGGUGCUGGAAUAAUUUGAUGUAUUUUCAGCAGAGUUUGUUUUAUUAGAUUUCAUUAUGAUAAUUUGUUUUAGUUUUGGUUAAUAAUUUGUUAUUGAGGUUUGCACUAAAGACAUGAUUCUUGGUUUUCACACUUGUUUGAUUAUGUGAUUUUAGCCUAAUAGCAUGAUGAUGAUGUAUUUGAGAUAUUUUGAUUGGUGUUUGAAUCUAUUUUGUAAUUAAACAAUGAGUUGUUUUUGUUUGUGGGUUAAAUAUUUUGGAAGCAUGUUGAUUAAUUUGAUGAUUUUAGUGCAAGUUCAUGGUUUAUACAAGUAUGUUUUGGCAUAUAGAUGUUAAAAAUAUCAAGUUUUGAAUCCAAAUAGCAUGAAUAUGCUUGUUGAUUAUCUUUAGUAGUUUUGAACUUUGGAACUUAAUGCAUGUUAUUGAUGACUUUAUUUUAUUUGUUAGUUCUUUGAAUUCAACAAUGCUUAAUAUUGAUAAUAUGGUUUGCAAGGACCAAAAGAAACAUGUUUUAGAAGCCUUAGAGGCUAGUUUUGGGUUUAAUAGUAGGUUGGGAACUUUUAGGUUGCUGGGUUUGGUUUUUUCAUGUUCUUGGAAAGAAAAUUGCCUUAGCACUAUGAUUUAGAUCAAUUUUGGUCCCUUUGUUUACACUAAACCAUUCAGGGGACUUAACUAGUAGAUAAUAUAGGGUUUAUUUGCAUUAAUAACAAGUGUAUGGGUUUUUAAUCCUAAGAUUUUGGUUUUUAACCGAAACCCAUUUUCACAAAAUCACGUUAAUUCUUUGAUAAUCGAAGUAAUGGAUGCUAGAUUAUGGAUCCUUGCAUGAUUUCAAAUAAAACCUUGCCCUUGAUUGCAUGAAAACUUGACUGGAUUAAGAUUUGUGUUUGUUGGUUUGUUGAUGAAUGCUCUUUGUGUUCUUCACGAUUUGAGUGUUUGAUCUAUUUUUCUGCAAAUUUUUUUUUAUGUUUUGUGUUAAUUUUCAACUUUGAUUUUGUUUCAGGUUAAACCUUUGUUUGAGUUUACUUUUCAGAUCAAACCUUGUUUUUUGGUUCAGUUCAUGGUUAAACUAGUGUCUUUGGGUCGACCCGUUUGGUUUUGUUUUAGGUCAAGUACUUAAGGCUUUGUUUGUUUGAACAACCUUUUGUGAAGGAUUUUUUUGGCCCAAGAGAAUGUUUGGCAAACACACACUUAAGUGCAUUUUGGUAAUUUCUAGGGAAAGAAAAGAUGGUUUUGCCAAACAUUGGCUUAUAGAAAUAAACUAGCUAUGUGACCCGCGCUCCACCGCGGGUUAAAUAAUCAAAAAAAUUUAAAAGAGCUCCUAAACAAAAUAAAAGAGAUGAUGUUUUAUCCAGGUUAUAAAAAGGUCCAAAGAUGUUGGGUCUUGGUGGCAGAAGGAUCCAAUUGGGUGUUGGGCCAUGGUGGAGGCAAGGCCCACAACUGUUGGGUCUUGGUGGGAGGACCCAACACGCAAUUGGGUCCUACACCGUCAAGACCCAACAUCCACAUGGGUCCUGCACCUGGCAGGACCUAGAAGGAUGUGGGUCCUGCACCCGGCAGGACCCAACAUGCAAUUGGGUCUUGCACUGUGCAGGACUCGAAGCUAAUUUCGGUCCUGCACCUUGCACGACCCAAAGUUAUUGUGGGUCCUGCGCUAUACUCAAUUGGGUUGGGUCCUGCAUCCUGUAGGACUUAAAGUGCAGGAUCCAACACCCAAUUGGUCCUGCACAUGUCAGGACCUAACACAUAAUAUAUAUAUAUAUAUAUAUAUAUAUAUAUAUAUAUAUAUAUAUAUAUAUAUAUAUAUAUAUAAUUCAAAACUACUGCAUAAAAAUCUAAAGACAAUAAAAUAUUGAUAUAACUUUGAAUCUCAUACACUAAUGUUAUAAAAUUAAAAUAUCUUGUAUUACCUAAAAUAAAAUCUCUUAUAUAAUACUAAAGAUUUAUAAAGUAUAUGAUGUAAAUAAAAAAUUUCUUGAGAUUUCUAUCAACUUUAAUAUGAAAAUAUUAGAGAAUAGAAUUAAAAAUUUUCAACUUUUUUCAAAGUAUUUUUAAAACUAUGAGUCAGGUGCCCUUGUCAACUCUUAGUUUUUUAGGUCUAGAAGGGAAUGUCAGAUCCAUGUUAAUAAUAAUAAUAAUUCAUUUAAUUAUAAUUAAAAUGAAGAAGAAGAAGAUACAAAAAGGAAAUUAAUACAGGUUUGUAAGCCAUGUAAAACACAAUUACUCAAGAUAUUUCAUGGUUUGCAUGCCUCUAGUUUGCGUGCGUGGUUAGGUUUCCCAUCUAUUUUAUGAAUUCACGCAAACCUAUUAUGAUAAUAUUUACAUACCAAGCACUAGAAACUAUAGAAGAAAAAAGAAAAUCUGACAAUAAGAAAAAUAUAUUGGUCUCAUAAUAUCUAUUUAGCCUUACACUUCUGGAAAAAGAUUAAUUUUCCAUCAGCACCAUGGACAUCUGGAAAUUUUUAUUUUUUGAUUUACUUUAAAUUAGUAUUUUUUUGACAUUUUUGUAUUAUUUUUAAAAGAUUGUUUCCAAAAUAUAUAUUUAGAUUGUGUCUUGAAAAUUUUUAAUUUUUUUCUUGACUUUAAAUUUUGAAGACACAAUCUCAACAUAAUUUUUUAAAAGAAAAUAUUUAAAAAAUAAUAGAAAAACAAAGAAAAAAGUAAUUUAAAGUAAAGGAAAAAAAUAAAAAUAUUUCAAGACACAAUUUCAAUAUUUUUUUUCAAACAUAGUAUUUAAAAAACAAUAGCAAAAUAUAAAAAAAAUCAAUUUGAAUUAAAGGAAAAAAUUAAAAAUUUUCAAAUUUCUUGGCUCUUGCUUCACAGUCAGACACAAUCUCAAAAAAAUAAUUUAAAAUCUUUAUUUAAAAAAUAAUAGAAAAACAUAGAAAAAAAAAUUUAAGUAAAGAAAAAAAUUAAAAAUUUUCAAGACACAAUCUCAAUGUAUAUUUUGAAAAAAAAUAUUUUCAAAAUAAUACAAAAAUAUAUAUAAAAAAUUAAUUUAAAGUAAAUUAAAAAUUUUCAAAUUUCUUGGGUCUGGCUUGUCAAAAGUUAUUUCAAAAAUUACAAAUUCAAAAAAUUAAUGUUGUUGGGUCUUUUGGUAGAGAAGGCAACGCCCCCAGCUCUUGGAUCCUAACUCUAAAGGGUUGAGGAGAACCCAAUGUCAUUGGGUCCUGGUGUUAGCAAUACCCAAUAACCCACAGUCAACCACUAUGUUGGGUCUCCCAGUAGCUCUGGGAAGACAAGGCAAAGCCUCCAUCCGUAAAUUUUGACCAAAACCAUAGCAGGGUAUGACCCCCAAGGUGUAUGGCUGCUAGGUCUGGCUGUGUAACCACACCCAAUAUCCUUAGGUAUGGUUGUGCAGCUAAACCCAACACCUUUGGAGGGUGUUAGGUCCUGCACCGUGCAUGACCAAAAUAGCUAUGAUAUAAGUAAUCCAUCCUAGGGACAUCGGCAUAGGAAGAUUGAAAAAAAAACAAAACAAAACAAUUGAUUUCCUUUGGUAAAUGGAUUGGAAAUCCAUGUUAUCACGAAUGUGAGAAUUCAAUCACCCAUACCUCUCUAUAUCUCUACACAUCGUAAAUAUAUAUAUCUUUUUCACUACAAUAUAACACCACCAUUGAAUAUUAAUGCAAGACCAUUGAUCAAUAAGGAUGACUGGCUUCCAGACCCAAUAACCAUACCCAAUUAAAUUUCUUUGUCGUUGUCUUCUCUGAUUUAAAUUUAUUUUUCAAAAUAAAUUGAUGAGAUUUUUUUUAUAUUGUAUAAAAGUUGAGUGAUAAUAUUUUUUUCCCAUUUCAGGUUGGGUUAAAUUUCCUAAUUAAAUCAUGUUUGAUUUUGCGUUUUGAAAAUUCCUUGAAAUUUUUUUGAUAAUUUUUAAGUUUUUUUUCUUUGCUUGAAAUUAAUAUUUUUGUUAUGUUUUUGUAUUAUUUUUUAAAAAAAUAUGUUGAGAUUAUGUCUGGCUGCGACGCUAGACAAAAGAAAUUUUAAAAUUUUUAAUUUUUUUCUUUACUUCAAAAUAUUACUUUCACCAUGUUUUUGUAUAUUUUUUAAAUAUUUUUUUUUUAAAAAAAACAUAUAUUGAGAUUGUGUCUAGUUGAGAGGCAAGACUCAAGAAAUUAAAAACAUUUUCAUUUUUUUAUUUACUUCAAAUUAAUUUUUGUUUAAUAUUUUUUUCUUCAUUUCAAAUUAUUUAGAUAGUGUUUGAUUUUGCAUUUCAAAAAUUGUUUGAAUUUUUUUUGACAAUUUUAAAGCUUUUUUCUUUACUUCAAAUUAAUUUUUUUUUAUGUUUUUGUAUUUUUUUUUUAAAUGUUGGCAUUGUGUUUGUCUGCGAUGCUAGACCCAAUAAAUUUUUAAAUUUUAAUUUUUUUCUUUCCUUCAAAAUAAUAUUUUUUUUUCAUGUUUUUAUAUAUUUUUUAAAAAUAUUGAGAUUUUCUCUGGCUCGUUUUGUGGGGCCUCUAAACCCAAGGAGGGUUAGAACAGACCUCGACGGCUGGGUCUGCACCCAGCGCGUGUGUAAUAGUCCGAACUGUACGACUCGAUCAAUGUUAAAAGAUUCCAACAUAUACUCUUUAUUUGAGGGUAAUGUUUUUUUUUUAUUUCCAAAAAUUCGACAGAGUUUUGUUUGCAUUUAGAACAUCCCAAGUUAUCGACUACUAUCAAUUUACUCAAUCAACCCAUUAUCACAAGGUCCCUUAAUUCCGGACCUUAUAUCAAACCUCAUAAUUCCACACCUCAUACAAUCCACACAAUAUAUAUAUAUAUCCUACGAGUAAGUUCAAUAUGAACAUAGUCCAACACAUCGUAUCAUAAAAUUUAAAGGAAAAGCAAUACUAUCAUGCAAAGAAAGUAUUUACAGUUAAUUACAAGAUAACUAAAAUACUACAUGCUAAGCUAAACCUUUAUAAAUACAUCAAGGUUUGCACAAAAGUAUACUACAUAAACACGUUAAUUCCCUUUUGUUUUAAGUUAAAUAUUUACAUAAGCUUCACAAGGUAGAGUCCUAAACUAAUGAUCUUCCUGGAUGUUUGAUGGACCUGUUACAUAAAUAAACAUACCAUUAUGUUGAUAAAGAAUAUAUGUAUGCUCAUGCAAUGAAUACGAAUGAAGUAUUAACUUUCUAUCGAAUCCAUGAGAAUUCUAACAAAUAACUUAUAUUUUGCUUGUAAAUCUUUUAAACCCAAUUAACACUCAUUUGUAUAUUCUUAAUUGAAUAAUCUUAUUUACUUGCAUAAACUGGGUGACCUUGCAAGGUUUAAUCUUGUAAUUCAUUUCCCGGCAAUCCUAUCAUGGAUGCCAUUAGCCGAAGCUAAUUAUGUAAAUCAUUUCCCGGCAAUCCUAUAACGGAUGCCAUUAGCCGAAGCUAAUCUUGUAAAUACACUAGGCUUUAUUUACAUUGAACACGAUAUUUAUUAUAAUUGCAUUCACCAGAAGGAUUCUAAAUUGUAUAAGUGCAAAUAGGAGGGAAAAUCAUGCACCUGCUUCGUCUGUCUCGCGACCUCCCCUAACAAAAGAUCCAAUCCUAGUUGCUCCUCCUGAAUCACAAGGAAGUUUUUUUUUUUUGGUUAUGAUUCCUUCAAGCCGAUAUUAUAGAGAAUUCAUAUUCAUCCAUUACUCAUAUGUUACUUUCUAUGCAUGUUCAUUUCCUCAUAAUAACAUACAUACAUAUAUCAUGUAUAUUUUCAGAGUUAGUAUCUCAAUAUACAAGUGUUCGUAUGACUCAAUUCUUUUAUAUUCUUAUUUAUAGUAUUCACGUCAAAGUCGUCUGACUUUGAACUGUUACUGUUUGACUUUGAACUGUUACUGUCCAAUUUCCAACUGUUACUGUUUGACUUGGAACUGUUACUGUCUAAACACUCAUCAGAUUUUUAACUAUAUCUAAAGUUCUAAAACUCCAUUUUAAGUGAGAUUGAUCUCGCUAGAAAGCUAAGACACGAGGCUACUAGUUCUCUGAGGAAGGAGAACCUAGUUUUGCCUCCAAGAUAGUCAAAAUUGUUCAUUUACUAAUUAGUCCUACUACCCUACAUAAUUAGUUACGACUCAAUCUCAGUUGGUAACCCAUAACUGGAGUUCUACAUCUCCAAAUUGAGCAAGACCAGUUUCUUUGGUUAGCUAACAUUCAAAUCUACAAUUUCUAUGAGGAACCCGAUCCUAAUCCCCUCAUCCUCCUACCCGAAAUCUCAUCAAAAGUUAGGAGACAAGUCUGUCUAGAUUCGUCUCCCCCUCCCCUUCACACAAUACUUUCAUAAACUACAUACCACACACAUGAAUUAACUUAAUCUCAACAAUAAGUACUUUUUCCCCAAUUUAUGUCUAAGAACCCUAACCUAUGAUUCAAUAUCAAGGCAUCAAUUCUUUAUCGAAUUUAAAAAUGAAUUUUUUUAAGAUCAUGUUUAGAAUACCUUACCCGGUACAAAUUAAGAUUUUGAUCUUCAACCAGUUGAAGAUUUUCAACUCCCUCCUUUCUUUUCUUCUUGUUCAAUUUCUUGGUAAUUUUUUGCUCUCAAGUGUUUAUCCCAUCUAUAAGCUCUUAAUCUUGGAUGGGUUCUUGAAAUUUUAGUGUUUCUCUCUUGAUUUCUCAAGAAUGGGUAUAAACUCCCUAUCUUCUCUUCUUAUGGUUCCUACAGAUUUUUUUGGUGAGGAGAGAGUAUUUAUACUCUAUAUUUUCCCUUAUUUGCAUUUAGGCCCUCCUUUUCCUUUAAGUGUAUUAUUCUCUUCAAUUAAAUCCAACCCUCAACAGUACCGGGUUUAUUAUAAUAUCGCGAAUUAUUUCGCUCGGAAAUUUAUAUUCAAAAAUUUCAGAAUUUCUGUUUUUAUUUAACCAUAUGCAUGAAUUUCAUCACUUUUAUUUAUUUAUUAUUUUUCCCGGGGUUUACAGCGCGGGUCCAGAGGCCAGGAGCGCGGGGUUGCAGACCCUGCCUCGCGGGUAUGCAGACCCCAGGGUCACAAGGCUGCACACUCGCUUGCACUGGGGAUGCAGCCAGGCGCGCGGGUCUGCCUUACCACCUAAGGCAUGGCAGGCCCCGUGCUAGGUGUCUGCAUGCUAGGGCCUUGGCCAGCCCUAGUGCUAGGUGGCAGCAACCUAGAGCGCGAGCAGGCGCACGUGGCCUACCCCACUCCCAAGCCUGACAGCCUAAGCGCCAAGUGUCCCCAGCCUUAGGGGUUGUGCGUCCAGCCAGACACUUGGGGCCCACACUAAUAUUUUUUUCAAAAAAUAUUUUUUAACAAUAAUAGUAAUAAUGAUAAUGAUAUUUGUUAUUAUAUUUUUUUUUUUGCAAUUUCCUUCCAUUUUUAAUAUUAAUACAAGUAAUAAUAUUUAGUAAUAAUAUUUUUUUUAACAUUCAAUGAAAUUAAAAAUAUAAAUAUUUAGAAUAAAAAUAAAAAUAUUUAGACUACAAAUAAAAAUAUUUAUCACAUUAAUAAUAAUAUGAAACUUGUUUGACCAAAGUUGAUAAAAUAAUAUUUUUUUUAAAAAAAAUUAUUAACAAUAAUAAUAACGAUAAUUGUUGUUAUAUUAUUUUUUUCAAUUUUCUUCUAUCCUUAACAUUAAUACUUUUAAUUACAAUAAAGAUAAUAAUAUUUAGAAUACAAAUAAUAAUAUUUAUCAUAUUAAUAAAAAUAUCUACAGUAAUAAAUUUUUUUAUGAUAAUUAACCAUGAGACAAUAAUAAUAAUGAUAAUUGCUAUUGUAUUUUUUCCCCUGCAGGGUCUGUCGAUCCAGCCGUGCGAGCCUCUAAACCCAAGGGCGGUUAGAACAGACAUCGGCGGUCGGGUCUGCACCCAGUGUGCGGGUCAGGAGGCUAGGAGCGCGGGGUGCAAACUCUACCUCGCUUGUCUGCAGACCCCAGGGUUGCGGGGCUGCAGCAAACCCCGCGCCAGGUGUCUGCAUGCUAGGGCCUCGGCCAGCCCUAGCACCAGGUGGCAGCAGCCUAGGGCGCGCGCAAGAGCGCGUGGCCAACCCAACGCCCAUGCCUGUCAACCCAAGCGCUAGGUAUUCGUAGCCUCAGGGGGUGUGCGUCCACCCAGGCACUUGAGGCGUGCAAUAAGAUUUUUUGAAAAAAAAGUUUUUUAAAGAAUAAUAAUAAUGAUAAUUGUUAUAAUAUUUUUUUUUCCAAUUUUCGUCUAUUCAUAAUAUUAAUACAUUUAAUUAAAAUAAUAAUAAUAAUAAUAAUAGUUAGAAAAAUAAUAAUAUUUAUCACAUUAAUAAUAAUAUGAAACUUGCUUGACCAAAGUUGAUACAAUAUUAAUAAUAAUAUGAAACUUGCUUGACCAAAGUUGAUACAUUAUUAAUAAUAAUAUUUAUCACAUAUUUUAUCAAAUUAUUUACAAAUAAUAAUAUAUUUUUAUGUUUGAAAAUCCAUUUUUUAUAUACUCACAUCAAAAUAUUCAUUCGUGUAAAAAGGAAAUAAUAAUAUUAAUUUUUCUUUUCUUUUCUCUUAUUUUCGAUAUGAAUACUUUUUUAUAUAUAUUUUUGAUAUUUCUCUUCUUGAAUUUGCUUAUUAAAGCAUGUUUGUUUUUGCGUUUAAAAAAUGCUUUGAAAACAUUUUUAAAAUUUUUAAUUGUUUUGUUUACUUCAAAUUAAUAUUUUUGAUGUUGUAUUUUUUUUUGGUCUAGGUCCAUGACUGCGUUUUUAUUAUAAUUCUAAUUAUAAAAUAAUAAUAUUUAUAAUAAAAAUAAUUAUAUUUAGAAAGCUAAGACCCAAUUCUCUUGGGUCGUGACGCAGGACCCAUUACCCUUGGAUCCUGCCGUGGGACCUAAAGGAAUUGGGUCCUGACGCAUGACCCAAUCCUCUUAGGUCCUUGGGUCCGGCGGCAGGACCCAAGAGAAUUAUAAUAAAAAUAAUAAUAUUUAUAAUACAAAUAAUAAUAUGUUUAAUGUCAAUAACAUUAAUUAUAAUAAACAUAACAAUAUUUAUAAUACAAAUAAGAAUAUCUUGAAUUUCAAUAACAUUAAUUAUAAUACAAAUAAUAAUAUUUUUCAUUUAUUAAUUAUUAUAUGAAUAAUAUUAAUUAUAAUAAAAUACAAAUAUUUAUAAUACAAAUAAUUUUAAUUUUAACGUUAUUAUUAUUAUUAUUAUUAUUUAUAAUACAACUAAGAAUAUUUUUUAAUAACAUUAAUUAUAAUACAAAAGUAUUAAUAUUAAAAAUAUUAUUAUUUGUAUUAUACAUAUUAUUAUUUUUAUUAUAAUUAAUAUUAUUCAUAUAAUAAUUAAUAAAUUUUGGAAAUUUAUUAUUAUUAUUAUUAUGAUUAAUAAAUUUUAAAAAUACUAUUAUUACUAUUGAAGAAAAACCAUUAUUUUUUUAAAGAUUUAAAAAUAUAAUUCAAAGUAUUCAUAUAAAAAAUAUAAUUAUUUGUAUUAUAAAUAUAAUUAUUUUUCUUAUAAUUCAAAGUAUUCAUAUCAAAAAAAUUAUUAUUUGUGUUAUAAAUAUAUUAUUUUAAUUAUAAUUCUAAGUAUUAAUAUAAAAAUAUUAUAAUUUGUGUUAUAAAUAUUCUUGAGUUUGUUAAUAUAAUUAUUUGUGUUAUAAAUAUUAUUAUAACAAAUAAUCAAAUGCCAAGCGCCCUAGGGCUGCAUCCAAGCAUGCGUGUCCGGUCAUAGCGCUCAAGGCUCGUCACACCCUUCGCCAGGUGUGUGCAUGCUGAGGCCUCGGCCAGCUAUAGCGCCAAGUGUUUGCUGCCUAGGGCCGCGACUAGGGGCGCGUGGCUGGCCCCAAAGCCCUGGCUUGGCUACCCAAGCACAAGGUGUCGACAGUCUAAUCUAAUUAAAUGUCGCCUCUGCCGCUGCAUCACUCCCAUCUUAAUGACAAAAGUCAAAUGAGCCACCCCAGUCGCAAUUCUUGACUAAAAACACAGGUAAGGAACGCCCCCCAAGGUGCUAUAGUGUCAUCCACAGUUCAUUGUAUCUUGGGCCACAGUGCAUGUACAGUAGAAAAUCCUAAUACGUGUUAAGACAUAGCAAAGCAACUAUGUAAGUUUUAAUACAUAGCAAAACAACUGUGCAAAUCCACAAUUAAUUGUCUCUUGGUCCACAGUGCAUGCAUGUACAGUAAGUCCACAAUGAAUUAUCUCUCAGUCCACAAUGUAUUCAUGUAUAGUAGAAAACCACGUGUUUUAGAGUUUUGUUAAUAAUAAAAAAAAACAAAAAUAAUUUUGGUUUGUUGUAUACGUCUCAAUCUUUACAUAACAUUGCAAUUUAUUAAUAAAAAGGAGGGGAAAAUGUUUUUAGCAUUGUUUUUUUUUUUCAUUUUGUAAUUUACAAUAAGUUGGCCAAUAUUUGGCCAAUAUUUCAAUAACUCUAAAAAUUUUAAUUCCUAAAAAUUAAAGGUCAACAUUAUGGUAUAAAUGUUAGACCUACCAGUAGGCUAGUAUUUAAGUACCAGAAGUUAACUAGAAAAUUUUCAGAAUUAUUUUGGAUAUUCAUCAUUUUUAAUUGUGAGUAUUUUUUCAUCACAAUAUAUGAGUUGUGGAAAACAUUUUCACCUUUCAGGAUAGGUGACUCCUGUCAAAGCACCUACAUGAAUUUUUUUUAUAAGAAUUUACCUAAACAUACGAGUCCAUAAUAAAUUUGAAAUGUCAUAUUUAUUUAUGGGCGUAAUUCCUUUUUCUGAGCCAUAAAUGGGCUACCGGUUAGGAACCCAUCAACACGUUUAAACCACAUCAUGACAACACAAUACAACUUUACUCAAGUAAGGAUGUUAAUGCCUUUUUCUAGCCAAUACUGGUCCCUUACCCUGAAAUUUCAGAUAAGAUCAGUUACUUGGGUCUUCUAAUGACUUUGAAAUCACAAAACUAGGUGCGGACUCCUUAAUCCCGAUGCUGCAACACCGCGCGCACAUAGGCGACACAAUUCAUGCUUGAUUAAUCAUCCAUGUGAAUUAUUAGGUUUCGAAUAUGUUGGCACAAAUAUAAAUCAUAAUCUUAUUCAAAACAAGAUUAAAUAAAUUAAGCAAUUUAAGUUACUAUCAAUCCAACAAAUUGAUAGAUUUAUAUUUAAAUAUCAAAUGCAAGAUACCAUGAUCUCUUAAAUCUUGUCCCAGUAUAAAAAAAAUGUGAGUAUAUGAACCCAUGAAGUGGUAUCAGAAUCUAUUUUCCUAUUAUUAUUAACUAAACGGAAAGCCAUAUCUUACUGCUUAUACUAUAAUAUUGGGAUUGAGUGGUACAAUGUCCAGAAUGCUUCUAAGGAUAACCAUAUGUCCAUAUCCAUAAGAUCUCAAUGGAUUGACCCUUACUACAGAAUCUAGCACAUCCUUAAGCUAGAAUAAAGUGCCUUCACUGAUUAAUCUAGCAUAUAUAUCUAAUUAUUUGAAAAUCUUUUCAAAUUUCAUUCCACCUUAUAUAAAGAUUUAAUACUUAAUAUUAUUUGAGAAUACAUAUAGAUUGCAAGCAUCGGCUUUUAGUGUACUUUUGAUGACAUGAAACUACCACAAAAUGGGUCCUAUCCGAGAGAGUGUUCUCUUUCUGUUCUGUUAUCACAUAGAACUGAAAUCUGUUCAGAGUACCCCUCCAAGAAAAUUGAUGCGGGCAGAAAGACAAUAAUAAAUACAGAAAAAACACAAGAAUUUUAAUGAGCGAAAUGGGCUGUUGAUGUGAACAUUAAGUUCACAGGUUUUAUUUUCUCUUAAAUAACAAUCAUCACUACAAGAUUUCACAGUUUUACUGACGGACCAAUUCCGUCGAUGUGUGAUUAGAAGUUCGUCGGUGAUUUUUUUACCGACGUCAUCACCGACGGAUUACGUCCGUCCGUCGGCAUUCCCUUCGUCGGUGAUUCCCCCUUCCAUCGCUAUAUCGAUUGGAAAAACAAAAAAAUCAUUUGCCGAUGGUUUUACAGAUGGAAUUUGCGCGCCAAAAAAAAAGAUUCCCGCUUGAAAUAUACCGACGGAUUUUUAUUCUGUCGGUGAUAUUGUAAUUGACCGACGGAAACUAUCCGUCGGUAAAUACGUCGGUGAGUGUAUGAAAUACCGAACGAAUAUAUUUGUCUGUAAAUUCGUCGGUACUGGUGGCAGUUACUGUUAAAUGCCGACGGAUUAAUUCCAUCGGUAAUUCUGUCAGUGAGUGUUUAAAAUACCGACCGAAUUAAUCCGUCGGUAAAAUCCUUGGUAAUAGUUUUUUUCUUAAUUUUUUUUAAAAAAACUAUUUAGGAUAUAUAAUAUAAAACUAUUUAAAUUAAUUGUAAUACAAACCAAUUAUGCAAAAAAAAAUUAUAUUAAACAUAAAAAAAACAAAGUUAAAUAAUAUUCAUUACAAACUGAAUAUGUUUCAAGAAAAAUAUUAAAUGAAGUUUUAAAGGUAAAUAAUGUUGAUUACAAAUUAAUAUAAAGGUGGAGCUGGAGGAGGAGGAGGAGGAGAUCCUGGAGGAGGCUGGUGAUUAUACGGCCAAAAAAGAUUAGGCGCACAUGUUCCACUAUUUGUCAUGUUCAUUAGCAUUUCGCGAAGUUGUUCAUAAGCCGCUUUUUGUUGUUCAUGAGCCGCUUCAUACUCCGUUUUUUGUUGUGCUUGAGACGCUUUGAGUUGCUCAGACUACGCUCUUUGUUCCGCUCUUUGUUGUGCAUGAGACGCUUUGAGUUGUGCGUACUCCGCUUUUAGGUGAUCGUAUUUCUCGGUGAGCUGAGCUGUGUGUUGCUGCAAGGCCACGAACUCCUUAGAUUGGGAGCUCGAUAUUGAUUGGGAGCUCCCAACGGUUGAAACACUACGGGUCGACCGCAAGUUGUCGGCCGUAGUGUUGGAGAGCCCGUAAACCCGAUUUUUAUCGGGUCCACUUGACAAGCCAACCUCCAUCCACAAAUCCGGAUCGAAUUUCGAAUGGGUCAAAAUAUUGUCCCCGUAUCUCUCCCUCAACCGAUUAUUAUAGGUCUCCUGAAAAUAAAAAUAAAAAAGUAAUCAUCAUAUUCAAUACAAUAAACAUAAUAACUUACAUAAUAACUUACAAAAUAAAAUGGUUGAACAAACAUACCACGAAAUGCUGAGCACGGUUAUCAACGAACUGUUGCGCCCCCUUCUGGCAGUCUUGACUCUGCACGUGCGUCUCCACAAACAGCUCCAUCGGGCUCAGCUUACGUCCAAGAGACGCAGCCUAUAAUGAAAAAAGAUAUAUUAACAACAACUGAAUUUAACGAUAUAUUUCAUUUAAAUUAAUCUUACCAUCCGUUUCGCAUGUGCAGCAAACGGAACGGAGCCGUCAGUGUGCGUUGUCACCCCGCCAUGAAUUGGCCGAUUCCGGUUGCCAGCACCGGACUGUGAGUGUCGUGUGAACCGUUCAGACGUCACGUGCUCAAGAUAGUGCGGCCAUAUAUCUUCCGGGAUGUAUAUCGGUUUGAAAUCCCUCCAAACCGCAACAUCGUUCCAGCCUUGGAAACCCCUAUCCCUCGCGGUUUUUUUUGCCUUUUUUUGUGCUUCAUACCAAAAAUCACGCAACCUACUUCACGCAACCAAAAAUUACAUUUCGAAACAUAAAUUUUUGGCUAAAAAAAAUCCUGUAUUGUUUUCGAUCUUACCUAGUUGCCGCGUGAUUUUCCCACACCCUCCUCACAACAGUGUUAUGCUCACUGUCCCAGCAGAAUUUGUGCUGUGUAUAAAUAAACAAGCUUAAAUAAAAAUAAUAAUUUAUUUACAAUUAUAUUAAUAAGCUGAAAAUUAUAAAUUAAUACCAACCUCAAACCUGUUAAACCAUGCAUUGAUUUGAGGCAUCCAUUCAGGAUGCUUGGAUAUCUGACUCCAUUGAAACAAUGGAAUCUCCAUCGACGAUUUAAACGCCGAUGAUAUUACUCGGGCGGCUUCAAUGUUUGUGAACCUGAAAAUAAAUGAAAUAAAUUCAAUAGUGAUUACUUCAUAAAUUAUGUUGUAAUUUUUUUAAAAAAAAACUAAAACCUUAACAAACUUACAUUGAAAGGUCGUCCUUCCAUUGUGCCUCGUACUUGCGGGUAAAUUGAUUCCGCUGCGAAGGCACGCCGUCUCUGCGCUAUGAAGUACCGCUAGAAGAGGCAGCAUCGGUUGACGGCGCAGGUGGUGUAGGUGCCUCUUCUUGAGAGGCACCUAAGGAAAUAUCAUCAUCGCUGCUAGACGAACUAGCUGUGACCGUACUUGAGCGACCAGCUCUGGUUUUCGUUCUACGCAUCUACACAAUUUGAUACAAAUAAUUAUAUAAUUAAAUUCAAAUGUAAAAAAAAAAUUUGACAGCACCUCCCCUAUACCGGAUACUACCCAAAUCCACAAACAUGCACAUAUUAACAAUAGCCACAACCAAUUUACCCAAUCUAUACUAAUUAUUCCAACAUAUUCAAUUACUAAUCCUAAGGUAAAUUCAACAUUAAGAAUUACAAUUCAAGUAAUUAUUCAAUAAUUAUACCAAUAUAACAAAACAAUAAAUUAAAAAAAAAACUCUAGAAUAACAAUCAAAAUAAAUGGAAAAAAUUAAACACAAAGCAUGCAAUAAUAGAGUAAAACUAAUAAUUAUUCCAACAUAUUCAAUUACUAAUUCUAAAAUAAAUUCAACAUUAAGAAUUACAAUUCAACAAAUUAUUCAAUAAUUAUGCCAAUACAACAAAACAAUAAAUUAAAAAAAAACUCUAGAAUAACAAUCAAAAUAAAUGGAAAAAAUUAAACACAAAUCAUGCAAUAAUAAAGUAAAAUUAAUAAUUAUUCCAACAUAUUCAAUUACUAAUUCUAUGGUAAAUUCAACAUUAACAAUAAAUAUUCAACAAAUUAACUAAUAAUAAUUAUGCCAAUACAACAAUAAAAAAUAUUCAGUAAAUUUAAAAAAAAAACUAUAGACUUUAGCAAUGAAUUAUGCAAAAAAAACUAUAGACUUUAUCUACAUUACAAAAAAUACACCAAAAAAAAAAACUAACCAAAAAAAUAGCAAAAAAAAACCAUUAGAAGAAACACUAACCUUUUAAACUGAUGGAGAUUCACGAUAAAAAAAGCUUGAGAUCGCCUGAAGAACGGAGAGAAGAACGGAGAGGAAAAGAAUGGUGAAAAACUGAGGAGAAGAGAAAAUGAACUGAAGAGGCGGUCGGGGGAGUUUAAAUGCCAAUUUUACCGACGGAUUCACCGACGUCUAUAAAAUUAAUUAUUAUUUUAAUUUAUUCCGUCGGUGAGGUGUUAAAAAUCCGUCGGUAAAUUUUGAAUUUCGCACCAAAUUUUUUAAUGGCCCUCUAUAUUUUUCGCAGUCCGUGGCAAAUCCGUCGGCAAUCUGACGCGGUCAGAGAUGCAUUUAAUGCACAACCCUUUGAUAUUCGCGCAGUCCGUCGGGAAUUGUGUCGGUAAAAUUGACAACGUACCGACGACUAUAUAUUCGUCGGUGUGGUCGUCGAUGAUAUGGUGGCAUUACCAGUAAUUAUUUUCGAACUCUCUGUGAAAUGCCGACGGAAUUAAGUCCGUCGGUGUGGUCGUCGGUGAUGUGGUGGCAUUUCAAGUAAUUAUUUCCUGUCACAAAAUAUAUCAUCCAUGAUCAAUAAUUAUUUCAAGUAAUUAUUUCGUAAUUGUGGCAUUUCAACUAAUUAUUUCAAGUAAUAAAUAUUUUGUGUUUCAAAAUAUAUCAUCCAUAAUCUAAAUUACAUGAAAAAAAGGGUUUUACAUAGGGCUUCAUUUUGGUAGUUAGUCAGAAUUUUCUUCUUCUUCGUCAUCAAUUGAAUUGUCAUCACCUUCAUCGCAAUCUUCAACAUGAAUAUCAUCUUCUUCAUCGACAUUUGCUUGUCCGCUAGAGCUCAAAACAAAAUUCAACUCCUCUGCAUCAACAUCAACAUGACUAUCAUCGAAAACACGAAAAUUUGAAUUUUCUUCCAAUUCAAUCGAAGGAGUAACUCGAUAUGGUUCAACCACCUCACUAACUUGAAAGACUUCAUCUCGCACACUUGUGUCUUCAUUCUCAUCCUGAACAACCUCGACACGACCCCGGGGUUUUGUUUUUAAAACGGACAACCAAUCCACUCUUGAUCGAUCCUUUCUAAAUGAAGGGGUGUAUGUGUAAUAAACUUGUUGACAUUGCUUUGCGAAAACAAAGACAUCGUUUAUGUUGCGGAGUCUAGCUUUUGAGUUGAUUUCGACCAGACCAUAGUGCGGAUCAACUCUGAUUCCUCUGUCAGUCGUGUCAUACCAAUAGCAUUUGAAUAAAAACACUAUAUUCUGCUCGUCAUGAUAUUGUAGUUCGACGACCUCUUCUAAUCUACCAUAGUAGUCAACUUCUAACUCACUACUAGUGGAUCCCUUAACACAAACACCGCUGUUGUAUGUCUUUCUUCCUUGCCCGUAUUCUUCAGUAUGGAAAACAUAUCCAUUGACAAAAUACCCGUUGUAGCACUUACAUUUUCUUUCAAGCCCCAGGCUUAGUGAAGACAAUGACUUAGGUGCACUCCUUCCCAUUUGAUAAACCUUGUAUGUAAUGUACAUCAAUAAAUAGUAAAUGAACGAGAAUCUCGUAAUGACAUGCAUACGUACAGUAAUUUUGCAAGUUAGAAUGAGUUUGUGAUAGUGCUUACAUGUGUUCUGAACCACGUGGCAAACUGCUCAUCUUGUAAUUGAAAGAUCUGGGAUUCGGUCAGCUGUGAGUUAUUGGAGAGCAAAUAUUGACGAUGUUGCCUGCAAGUGAUAAUGAGUGUAUGAUAUUACAAUAUAUAAUUAACAGUAUAUUACUAACAAAGUUUAAUUAGUAUAAACUUACUGAAUAAAAGGUCUCAGCUCAUCACACUUAAAUAGAACAUAGUUGUGUGCUUGUUUGAACUCUAUUUCCGACAAAUAUCUUCCUCUUACGGCAUUUUUAUGUGUGGGUCAUCCAGUAUUGGAGAAUAUUGACAAGUUCCCACUGGAUGGCACUUCACCGCCAUCAUCAUGCCGUGGACCGCGAUUGAUUCUCGUUCUCAGAUGAGGUUCGAAAUAGUACGAGAUAAAUGUUGAGAUCUCCUCAACAAUAUAGGCCUCACAUAUCGAAGCCUCAACAUGCGCCUUGUUCUUAACCUUUUUCUUGAGAUUAAACAAGUACCUGCAUUGAAAUAUUAAUCAAGUAUUUUCAAUUAAGAAAAACAUAUAAAAUACUUUUAUAUAUGAAUUACAUUGCAACUGUAAUAUCUAACCGUUCGAAUGGGUACAUCCAUCUAUAUUGGAUCGGACCUCCAGCUUUUGCCUCGAACGGUAGAUGUAUAGGGAGAUGCUCCAUUGAGUCAAAAAAUGAUGGAGGGAAUAUCAUCUCAAGUUUGCAUAGUGUCUCGACGAUAUUCGUUUGAAGCCUCUCAAUGUGAUCAACAUUCAACUUGCUGGAGCAUAUAUCUCUGAAGAAAUGACUAAUCUCCGUGAGUGCAUCCCAUAUUCCCUUUGGCAACAAAUCACGAAAAGCUAAUGGGAUGAGUGUUUGCAUAAACACGUGGCAGUCAUGACUCUUCAUUCCAUACAAUCUGCAGUCCUCUAUAUUAACCAGCCUUGAUAUGUUCGAUGCAUGUCCAUCCGGAAAACGCAGACUCUUAAGUCAUUUGUAGACUAGCAGUUGUGCGUUUUUCUCUAACACGAAGCUUGCUCUUGGUUUUGCAACCCGUGACUCAUCAUAAACCAACUCCAUAUUUUUACGGUUACAGUAUAAAGCUAUAUUCAAUCUAGCCUUGAUGUUGUCCUUUGUCUUCCCCUUCACAUCCAUGACGGUGUUGAAAAUGUUCUCAAACAUGUUCUUUUCGAUGUGCAUGACGUCAAGGUUAUGGCGGAGCAGAUUGGUCUUCCAAUAAGGAAGCUCCAAAAAGAUACUUCGCUUUACCCAAUUAUGGGUCAAACCAAAACCAGGAAACUUUUGCUUACCUGAUUGAAGGCCAAACACAAUGUCACCGUACUCUGAGACAACAUCAUGCAAUUCUUCACUAGAAAGACGCAGGGAUGCAACAUCUUUUUCAACUCUGCCAACAAAGAAAUCUUUUUUGUUCUUUCUGUACCUGUGAUGAAGUGGCAAGAAGCGACGGUGACAGUAAAAAAAAGAAGCUUUACCUCCAUUUGCUAGCGUGAAUGCCUUGUUGUUUUCCAUGCAGUAUGGACAUGCGAGUUUCCCAUGCGUGCUCCAACCAGAAAGCAUUCCAUAAGCUGGAAAAUCAUUGAUAGUCCACAUCAAUGCCGCCCUCAUAAGGAAAUUUUGUUUCCUCGAUAUAUCAUAAGUCAGAGCUCCGGAGGACCACAACUGCGCCAACUCAUCAAUCAACGGUCGAAGACAAACAUCUAUAUUCCGCCCCGGGCUUCUUGGACCGGGUAUGACAGUAGAUAAAAACAUGAACUCCGGCCUCAUACACAUUCCCGGUGGCAAGUUAUAAACUGUGAGUAUGACCGGCCAACAAGAAUAAGGAGCAGCAAAUGACCCAAAUGGGUUGAAUCCGUCUGUACACAACCCAAGACGCACAUUCCUUGAUUCAGCUGAAAAGUGAGGAUGAACACUGUUAAAGCGUUUCCACGCUUCGCCGUCAAAAGGAUGAACCAUCACUCCAUCAACCGCAUGGUGUGCUUGGUGUCAUGUCAUGUGCUCAGUAGUCCUUGGUGACAUGAAUAACCUCUGCAGUCUAGGUGUGAUCGGGAAGUAUCUAAGUUUUUUAUAUGCCACUAGAGUCUUUUCCCUGCUAGUUCUAGGUUUGUAACGGGAAUGCCCGCAUGUCAUGCACUUGGUCAUCUCAGCAUUUUCAAGGUAGUAUAACAUGCAGAAGUUAGGGCACAUGUCAAUUUUUUGGUAUCCUAAACCGAGGGGUUUCAUCAUGGACUUCGCAGCAUAGAAGUUCUCUUUCAGCCUGUUCCCUUCAGGUAAAAUGCUUCUCGCCCAUUCAAUAAUCUUGUCAUACUCGGCCUCACUCAACCCGUGAUCUGACUUGAUGGUGAACAUUUGUGCUACGACCGAUAAUUUACUGUGGUUCGUGCAGCCAUCCCAUAAUGGUUCGUUAGAAUCUUUCAACAAAUCAAAAAACCUAGCUGCAUCUGCAUUAGGUUCUUCUUCUACGAUUGGACAUUGACUGCCAUUACCUUGAUUCAUUCUCAUUGCAUCCAUAACCAUAUUUCUGUAAGGAUAAGUGUUGUCAUUUGCCGCUUCAUGCACGUUGCUAGCACUAGAAGUAGACCCAACCACCAUUUCUUCCAUUCUCCUCUUACUACCAAAUACUUCUCCAUAUGCAUACCAACACUGGUAAUUCUCCAUAAACCCUUUGUGUAGAAGAUGCAUCAUUACAACAUCUGGAUGCAGAUACUUUUUAUUUUCACACUUCCUGCAUGGACACCUAAUACCGCCUCCAAUAAAAUUUCUAGGAAUAGAUGUUGCGAAAUUAAUAAAACCCUGAACCCCGUUACAAUAAUCCAUCCUCCGCAAUCCUUGGGGUGAAUCUCGAUACAUCCAUGAACGAUCAUCCAUGACUUAUAUCGAACCUCUAUAAAAUUAUGAUGACAUCAUGUAUUAAUUAACUAAGUUAGGUAAAUAAACUUGCAAAAAUAUUACUUUACCUCGAGAUUAUCCAACAAACCAAUCACAACUUCUCAUAAAUAUUAAAUAUUCAUUAUUAUUUAUCAACGUCCAUACGAAUUAAAAUAUAUAAAUUUACAGAAAUUACCACUCCGCAAUACCAUUGAUAAAACUUUAAACGGACCCAUUAAGCAAGCUAUUAAUUAUUUCAAAAUAGCACAUGUAAUUCAUAUACUAACAAAAUACAUUUACUAAAAAAACAAUAAAAUUCACAUUUAAUUAAAUGUUAAAAUUUAAAAAGAUAGAAUUACUUACAAAAAUUGAUAAAAUCCAUCGGUAAAUCAGAACACGGAUGCUGUGACCACAAAACUUCAAGAAAUAUAACUUGUUGUGCUGAUAUGAGGAAGAUUUUUUUUUGGGGGGGGAGGGGGGGCUGGUUGUUUGCAGAUGGGGAGAGUUGGGAUUAGGAAGAAGAAGGAGAAAUAGGGGAGGAGAGGGUCAGCAGAGCUGACAUGUAUAUAUAUUAACUUUUUCCAACGGUUUCACCGACGGACACUCCAUCGGUGAUUCUGACGGACACAUAGACACGUCACCAUACGGAUCUGCCAUUUCAAAUCCCUCGGUGAGUCCGUCGGCAAUUUAAACGGCGAACCGGUCACGUCACUGUACGGGCUGUCGUUUUGAUUUCGUCGGAACAAAAUAACCCGCCAAAACCUCCACGUCAGUGACCCGCCUUUUUUUUAAAUUCGGAAACUUUUUCGUCCGUAAUUCAGUCGGUAACUACCGACGGAAAUUUUCCGUCUGUAGUUACCGACUGAAUUACGGACGGAAAAUGGUCCGUCGGUAGUUACCGACUGAAUGACAGACGGAAAAGUGUCUGUCGGUAAUUUCGACCUCAAAUUACCGACAUAAAUAUUUCGUCUGUAAAUCCGUUGGUAUUUAACGAAUUUCUGGUAGUGGAACUAAGCAUAUUGAGAUCGAUUAUCAUCUUACUCGUCAUCAUCUCAAGCAUGGAACCAUUGCUUUGCCUUUUGUUCCUUCUUCCUUGUAGAUUGCAGAUUUCUUUACCAAGGCGCAUUUCAUCUCUCGUUUUCAUUUUCUGGUUGGCAAACUCUCAAUGCUUGUAGCUGCCGCAUCGUGAGUUUAAGGGAAGAUGUUAAAUAACAUUUAUGUAGUCUUGUUUAUUAAGGGUAGAAUAUUACUUUCAGUUUAACCUAUAUAUACUUUAUUUGUUUUUAGGUUAAGACUAAGCACUCAUAAUAUACAGAUUAUUCAGAAUUCUAGCCUCCCUUUUGUGUUUGAUCUUAAUUCAUUUUAACAAUGCUAUUUGUUGAAGUUGUUGCCAGCCUUCAAAAGGUCACUCGAUCUCAUUUUAGAAACUGAUUUCUCAAACAUGGAAACCUGGAAUCUCAAAAUCUUCUUAAUCAGUACAUUCCUAGUGAACAAGUAUGUCAAGGAGAAAUAAAAGGAUUGUCAAUGCAUUUUUCCAGACUAAAGUUGAGUUUAAGGACAUUCAAAAAGGUACAGUUUGCAAGGCCCGGGGGGAUUUCCCCUGAGAAAUUGUUGGAAGAGAGGUAGAGAGACGUGGCAUACUGAAUUAUUUUAGAGAUAUUUUGUGGAAUAGAUCCAAAGAGCUCAUUGCUGGAGAGAUCUAUGCCCGUUAUGCUUGUGCAGUGUUUAAGGCCAAGAGGGAACCUGCCCUUGAGACCCAUAUCCGGAAGUCUGAUAUUCAACACCCUAUUCUCACUAGGAUCGAUGCCACCAUUCAACCCCCAAAAAGGUACAAAUGAAUCCUUCAGUAGAAUUCUCAAAGUUCCAAGAAGAGUUCGAGUAAUUAUCAGGGAAAGGUUUAGCCAGGUUGAGCAACAAUAGUGGUCACGGCUGCAACAAAGUUGUCACUGGCAGCAGCGUUGUGGGCAACAAUGUUGCUGGCACGAGUCAUGAACGUUUCUGUCCAUGAUGGUUAAUUCCUUGAGAUUGUUGGUAAGGACACAAUGGAGGAACAACAUUAAAGAUACUAUCUUUAAAGAUAUUUCCUCUAAAAAAAAAUUAUAUUUAAAAAUUAUUAUUAUAAACAAAAAACACUCAAAAAGUAUAGGUUUUACCUCGUAUAUAAAGGAAACAAAGAUUUUUUUCUUGCUCAACCCAACCUUAAACCUAUUAGAUUUAAAUAUUUCAACUUAAAAAAAAAUAUUAUACAUUUAAUUGGAAUAAAAAUCUUUUAAAUAACUUCUCAAAUUAUAUUAUAUUAUUUACAACAAAUUUUUCAAACCAUUGCAGUAAUUACAAUUCAAAUUAAAUUAUAAAUUAUUAAAUAUUAUUUUAAUAUAUUUUUAAAUAAAAAACAUUUUAAAAAAUAAAAAAAUACUCCUGAUAUACCCUGCUAUGCAGCUCUGCCGCUUGGAAAAUGAGCUAGAAAAGGUUACGGGAGGAGAAAGCAAUGCAAAUUCAUUUGAACAGCCUCCAUGAUUUUCAUUUUUGCAAUUAAUAGAAAAUUUAAAAUAAUUAUGAAAAAUCAAUGUAACUUCCCUCAUAUAUAUAUAUAUAUAUAUAUAUAUAUAUAUAUAUAUAUAUAUAUAUAUAUAUAUAUAAUCCGGGAUGUUCGGGUCAGCUUACGCGUACCACGAUUUAUUUUUGGAUCCANNNNNNNNNNNNNNNNNNNNNNNNNNNNNNNNNNNNNNNNNNNNNNNNNNNNNNNNNNNNNNNNNNNNNNNNNNNNNNNNNNNNNNNNNNNNNNNNNNNNAUUCUUCAAGGAUAGUUUAAUGUUUUAAAAGUAUAAAAUUUAAAAGAAAUUUUAAAAAAGUAAUUAGGAUUUCUGUUUUGAAUACUUCAAGUAUAAUUCAAACUUUUAAAUUUACAAAAUUUAAAAGAAAUUUUAAAAAAGUAAAUAGAAUUUCUGUUUUGGAUUCUUCAUGGAUUGUUUAAAUGUAUUAAAAUUAUAAAAUUUAAAAGGAAUUUAAAAAAAGUAAUUAGGAUUUCUGUUUUGGAUUCUUCAAGGAUAGUUAAAAGAUUUAAAAUUAUAAAAUUUAAAAGAAUUUAAAAAAAGGAAUUAUGAUUUCUGUUUUUGAUUUUUCAAUGAUAAUUAAAAGUUUUAAAAUUAUAAAAUUUAAAAGAAUUUAAAAAAAGGAAUUAGGAUUUCUGUUUUGGAUUCUUCAAGGAUAGUUUAAAUGUUUUAAAAGUAUAAAAUUUAAAAGAAAUUUUAAAAAAGUAAUUAGGAUUUCUGUUUUGAAUACUUCAAGUAUAAUUCAAACUUUUAAAUUUACAAAAUUUAAAAGAAAUUUUAAAAAAGUAAAUAGAAUUUCUGUUUUGGAUUCUUCAUGGAUUGUUUAAAUGUAUUAAAAUUAUAAAAUUUAAAAGAAAUUUAAAAAAAGUAAUUAGGAUUUUUGUUUUGGAUUCUUCAAGGAUAGUUAAAAUAUUUAAAAUUAUAAAAUUUAAAAGCAUUUAUAAAAAGUAAUUAGGAUUUCUGUUUUGGAUUCUUCAAGGAUAGUUAAAAGAUUUAAAAUUAUAAAAUUUAAAAGAAUUUAAAAAAAGGAAUUUGGAUUUCUGUUUUGGAUUCUUCAAGGAUAGUUUAAAUAUUUUAAAAGUAUAAAAUUUAAAAUAAAUUUAAAAAAAAUAAUUAGGAUUUCUGUUUUGGAUUUUUCAAGGAUAAUUAAAAGUUUUAAAAUUAUAAAAUUUAAAAGAAUUUAAAAAAAGGAAUUAGGAUUUCUGUUUUGGAUUCUUCAAGGAUAGUUUAAAUGUUUUAAAAGUAUAAAAUUUAAAAGAAAUUUAAAAACCAAAUUAUGAUUUUUGUUUUGGAUUCUUCAAGGAUAGUUUAAAUGUUUUAAAAGUAUAAAAUUUGAGAGAAAUUUUGCAAAAGUAAUUAGGAUUUCUGUUUUGAAUACGUCAAGUAUAAUUCAAACUUGGAAAUUUACGAAAUUUGAAAGAAAUUUUGAAAAAGUAAAUAGGAUUUCUGUUUUGGAUUCUUCAUGGAUUGUUUAAAUGUAUUCCAAAUAUAAAAUUUAAAAGAAAGUUUAAAAAAGUAAUUAGGAUUUCUGUUUUGGAUUCUUCAAGGAUAGUUUAAAUGUUUUAAAAGUAUAAAAUUUAAAAGAAAUUUUAACAAAAUGACUAUGAUUUCUGUUUUGGAUUUUUCAAUGAUAAUUAAAAGUGUUAAGAAUUAUAAAAUUUAAAAGAAAUUUAUAAAAAGUAAUUAGGAUUUCUGUUUUGGAUUCUUGCAAAGAUAGUUAAAAGAUUUAAAAUUAUAAAAUUUAAAAAAAGAAAUUAGGAUUUCUGUAAACCCCCGUAAAUAAAAAUAAAUAAUAAUAAUAAUAAAAAAAACACAUAGGAUCGAAGUAAUGACAUUUCGAUGAGUAAUGGAUAUUCGGUAUGAAAGAAAUGAAUAAAUAGUAGGGAUGACAAUAAAUGUGUCAUGUGAGAGAGAGAAUGAUCUCCAUAAACAAAUUUAAAGAUAUUGUUGAAGUCGAAAAGAGAGUCAUGAUUUUUAGUUUAAAACUUGUAACGUUAGCGAAACUAGUGACGAGUUUUAAUGGAUAAAAGAAUAAGAAAAAAAAAACCAGAAGAUAUGUAAACCCGGGUCAAAACACGUAUUUUGACAAAUUAAUGAUAAAUGUGGUAAUAUUGAAUUUAUUGAGUAUAAAUUAAGAGGAAAUGUCACGAGGAUCUAAGUAAAUAAAUUAAUGCGUGAAAUUCAGAUUUUAGCGUAAAAGACAUUGAUUGUCUAGUUUUACGGUAUCGAUGAUAUAUCUCAAUCCGACCGUUGGAUCGGGCUGAAAUUUUAUAAGGAAUCUCCAGACAUAUUAUUUUAUAUUAGGUUCAAAUUUCGUGUCAAUCGGAGUUUGGGAAGGAUUUGCGAGAGCACUGAAAAUCGGGUAAAUUGAAGAAGAUGACACAAAGGGCAUUAAUAAGGGCUUUUUUGUAAUUUUAUCAAAACAAAUACUCUCCUCUCCUCUCUUUAAAAACAGAGCACGUCCUCUGCAAAUGGAAAAACAGGAGGGAGACCAUUUGUUUUGUCCCAUUUUCUUCAUUUUCUCUUCAUUUCUUCAAGCUAAAUCAAAAGGGAGUGUGCUUAGGAGGAUUAUAUCCAAGAAAACAAAUUAAAUGACAACUUAGAGAGUUAUAGAGCUUGAGAGAAACAAAGAGAAGAAGCUGGAAAUUGGAAGAGGAGGACAUGAUUUUUGUAAAUUUUUGCAAGAAUUCAUUGAAAUAAGUUAAAGUAGCAAAGGUAAGCAACAUACCCUUUAGUAAUUUCGUUUUUCUCUCUUGUUCUUGCAUGAGGAGAAGAAAACCUCCAAGUUUAAAAUUCUAGGGUUCAUGUAAAUAUUUUGGGGGAGUAAUUGUUCAUGUGAAUUUCAAGAUUAAUUGCAUGAUAAUGGCUUGAUUUGCUGAAAAAUAGAAGGAAUAAAUUGAUUUGAAACUAUGGGUUUUGGGAUUGCAACAGGGCAGGAACUUCGGCAGCCAUAUUUUGACUUUGCACCGUUGGAUUAGAUUGAAUUUUGGAUAUGUUAUUAUACUCAAUGUCACCUACAUUCUGACCGGAGGGAUUGCAAAUAUCCGAUUUCGUUUGAGGGCUGUCACCGGAGGAACAUUUCUGGAAAAUCACCCUUCAAGACAGCUUUGUUCGUCGGCCGUUAUAUCAUCGUUUCACCGUUGGAUUGGUCUGGAUUUUGGACAUGUUAUUCAUCCAGAUGUUAUAUAAAUUCUGAACGGUUUGGAUCGGAAAAGAACACUCCUACCAGAAAUUAUACUUCCCGAACAGCAGGUCUCCAAAUUUCAGGUCAGUCCAGUAUUGUUCUGAUAUCGGGAGGUUUAACCGUUGGAUGUAUGUUAAUUUUGGAUAUGUUAUUCGAAUGAUGAUGAUGUAUAAUUCCACCGUUUGGAUUUAUUGAAUUCUAAAUUUACAGAAUGAUGUUUUAAGUUUGGUUUGAGAAAUAUUGAAUGAGAAUAUGAGGUUUAGCAUAAAAAGUAUGUUUUGGGACUAAGGAUAAUGGCAAUGGGUUUAAUGAUGAUGGUUGUGUUUGUGUUAUGUUUGAGUCAUGUUUGAUGUGUUGAUAAGUGAUGAUAUAGUUAAAUUCUAUAAAGAAUAGUGAUUGACUAAUACUUUGGUUGUGUUAGAAUGGGAAAUCAUGUUGUAAAUUUUGACCAAAACCAUAGCAGGGUAUGACCCCCAGGGUGUAUGGCUGCUGGGUUUGGCUGUGCAACCAUACCCAAUAUCCUUGGGUAUGGUUGCGCAGCCAAACCCAACACCUUUGGAGGGUAUUGGGUCCUGCACCUGAUCAAAAUAGCUAUAGUAUAAGUAAUCCAUCCUAGGGACAUCGGCAUAGGAAGAUUGAAAAAAAAAAAACAAAACGAUUGAUUUCCUUUGGUAGAUGGAUUGGAAAUCCAUGUUAUCACGUAUGUGAGAAUUCAACCCCCCGUACCUCUCUAUAUCUCUGUACAUCGUAAAUAUAUAUAUAUAUAUCUUUUUCACUACAGUAUAACACCACCAUUGAAUAUUAAUGCAAGAUCAUUGAUCAAUAAGGACGACUGGCUUCCAGACCCACCAACCAUACCCAAUUAAAUUUCUUUGUCGUUGCCUUCUCUGAUUUAAAUUUAUGUUUCAAAAUAAAUUGAUGAGAUUUUUUUUUAUAUUGUAUAAAAGUUGAGUGAUAAUAGUUUUUCCCAUUUUAGGUUGGGUUGAAUUUCCUAAUUAAAUCAUGUCUGAUUUUGCAUUUCGAAAAUUCCUUGAAAAGUUUUUGAUAAUUUUUAAGUUUUUUUUCUUUGCUUGAAAUUAAUAUUUUUGUUAUGCUUUUGUAUUUUUUUUUUUAAAAUAUGUUGAGAUUAUGUCUGGCUGCGAUGCCAAACCCAAGAAAUUUUAAAAUUUUUAAUUUUUUUCUUUACUUCAAAAUAUUAUUUUCUCCAUGUUUUUGUAUUAUUUUUUAAAUAUUUUUUUUAAAAAUAUAUUGAGAUUGUGUCUGGUUGAGAGGCGAGACUCAAGAAAUUAAAAAAAAAUUAUUUUUUUCUUUACUUCAAAUUAAUUUUCGUUUGAUAUUUUUUUCUUCACUUCAAAUUAUUUAGAUCAUGUUUGAUUUUGCAUUUCAAAAAUUCUUUGAAAUUGUUUUGACAAUUUUGAAGUUUUUUUUCUUUACUUCAAAUUAAUUUUUUUUUUAUGUUUUUGUUUUUUUUUAAAUGUUGGCAUUGUGUUUGUCUGCGAUGCUAGACCCAAGAAAUUUUCAAAUUUUAAUUUUUUUCUUUCCUUCAAAAUAAUAUUUUUUUUCAUGUUUUUAUAUUUUUUUUAAAAUAUAUAUUUUAAAAAAAUAUUGAGAUUUUGUCUGGCUUGUUUUUGGGGCCUCUAAACCCAAGGGCAGUUAGAACAGACCUCGACGGUGGGUCUGCACCCAGCGCACUGGUCCAGAGGCCAGGAGCGCGGGGUUGCAGACCCUGCCUCGCGGGUCUGCAAACCCUAGGGUCGCAAGGUUGCACACUCGCUCGCACUGGAAUGCAGCCAGGCGCGCGGGUCUGCCCUACCACCUAAGGCAUGGCAGGCCCCGUGCCAGGUGUCUGCAUGCUAGGGCCUUGGCCAACCCUUGUGCCAAGUGGCAGCAGCCUAGAGCACGAGCAGGCGCACGUGGUCUGCCCCACUCCCAGGCCUGACAGCCUAAGCGCCAAGUGUCCCCAGCCUUAUGGGUUGUGCGUCCAGCGAGGCACUUGGGGCCUACACUAAUAUUUUUUUCAAAAAUUAUUUUUUAACAAUAAUAAUAAUAAUAAUAAUAUUUGUUAUUAUAUUUUUUUUUUGCAAUUUCCUUCUAUUUUUAAUAUUAAUACAAAUAAUAAUAUUUAUUAAUAAUAUUUUUUUUAACAUUCAAAGAAAUUAAAAAUAAAAAUAUUUAGAAUAAAAAUAAAAAUAUUUAGACUACAAAUAAUAAUAUUUAUCACAUAUAUAUAUAUAUAUAUAUAUAUAUAUAUAUAUAUAUAUAUAUAUAUAUAUAGCCGGAAGAAAUUAGAAAAAUAAUAGGAGUCUGGAGCGGUCAGAAAAUGGUUAGAAAAAUUGAUUAAGGAGGUUAAAAAAUACAAAGAUUGAAAUUUUGACAAUAUAUACUUGAAUGAUGAGAGCCCUGUUGGAAAAGAAAAUUCAAUUUGAGGAGAAAAGUACAAAAUUAGAUGUUUAUGGACUCAAUUGGAUUUUAUUGAAGGUUUAAUUGAAUUUAUAGAGGGUUUGAUUGCAAGAAAAAUUGUUUUUUAAGUCAAUUUGGGCUUUAAUUGGAAGAAAUUAAAGUUCUGGGGUCAAAUUAUAAUUUUUAAGAGUUGAUUUGGUCAAAUUAGGGGCUUAAUUGCAUAAAUAUUGAAGUUUGAUGGCCAAUUAGGGACUUAAUUGAAGAAAUCCGAAACCAAGGACCAAACUAGAAAAGGCGCGUAAAUAGAGGGGCUGUAAUUAACCAAAUCAGGGCUUAAAUUAAAGAAAUUGGAAGUUUAUUGAUCAAUUGAGGGUCAAAUUGUAUAAAUCGGAAACCAAGGACGAAAGUGGAAAAGGCGGCCAACUAUAAGGGCGGCGAUUGAAGUUGGCAGGGAUUCAAUUGAAAUGAACAAAAGAUAAAUUAAGGACUGAUUUGGAAGUUGACGUGUUGGCGCCAUAUUUAAAUGAAACGGCGCGUUUUGUCCAAAACGACGCCGUUUCAUGUUGAAAAAAAAUAUAACAGAACGGUGUCGUUUUGAGAGACACUGUUCCUCCUUCUUCUUCCCCUGGACGCGCAGCAGGGGAAGAAAGAAACUUUUGUUUUUUCUUCUUUAAUUCUUCAUGCCUAUCUCCCUCCCCGCGUGCUUUGCCAAACAUCCGAAGCCCGAUGCCCCCUCAUAAUGAGAAACUAGCAAAGACGUGCCCAGCAAACCGAGCCCGUUGGUCACCUCAACCGGCGUCGUGACAGGGCAGUAAAGCCCUGCUCCCCAUGCGCAGCAAUAGGGCGGCAAUAGGGAUGCCCCCGCUCCCUUUGCCCUAUAUAUACCACCCAACGCCAGCACAUGACAAAAAAAAGACAGAGGACGAAAAAGAAAACGAGAGGAAAAGAAAAGGAAAGCAGACGGUGGAGAGAGAGAGAGAGAGAGAGGAAGACGAGUUUGAAACAGGGGAGGGUUUGAGAGUAAAAAAAAACAGACAGAGAGGAACAAAAAGAAAGGUAAACAUAGCAGCAGAAGAGGAAAGAAAACGAAGGAGAAGGGAAGAGCAGUAACCUCUCGCUCCGCCGUUUGUAACAGCGACACCGCCACCGGCCUCCACCGCAGCACCGCCAGCGAAGCAGCCAGACCAGCAAGGCACCUCCUCCUCCGCGUCAGGUAACUUUUCUUUCCCCUCCCUUUUUACUUCAUUUUGGGCAUAAGUUUCUCCUGCAUGCAGAAUGAAUAGCGUUCUGCAUGCAGGAGGAGGAGGAGAGGGGGAAAAUAAUUCCCCCUCCCUGUUUUUUCUUUCUGGGCCAGGCCGGUUCUGGCCCAGCCCUUAUGUCUGGGCCGGGUCCGGCCCGGACCCAAAGAAGCAGAGAGAACUGUUGGGCCGAGAUCGGCCUAACCCUUUUGGGCUGAGGCCGGCCCAGUUAACUGGGCGACCCAGCCCACACAAUUAUAAUAUUAUAUAUUAUAGUAUAUUAUAUUAUAUAUAUAUAUAUAUAUAUAUAUAAUUUUUUAAAAAACAAAUUCUAAAAAAUCCUUAAAAAUUUUGUUGAUUUUUCUGCAUAUUUUUUUUAUCAAAAUUAUUUAAUACUAGUUUGUAUUUUUAUACCGUAAAGAUACAGAUCCAGUAUUAAAACAUCCGGUUUUCGUCAAAACAUUGCAAAAAAUUUAUAUAAAAUAAAAAAAUAUUUUGUUUUUCAUGCAUACGGCCAAGUAUUUCAAAGAUAAGAAAAAUCAUCACAUCGUAUUUUCAUACAAAAAAAAAUCAUAUUGUUUUUUUAUACAUAAAACACAAAAUAUUCAAAAAUAUGUUUUAGCAUGCACUUUGGCUUUAAUAACAAGUUUGUUAGAGCCAUGAGAACUAGGCCAAUAUUUCAAAAAUUCUAAAAAAAUAUUUUUGUCUUCUUUUAGUAUCUGGGAUUACGAAUUUAUACGUAAAACGUAUUCCUGAUAUUAAAAAUGUAGUUUUCUUAUAUAGGCGUUAGAACGGUUAGAUUUUUACCCGAUAAGAUAAGGACCUCUUUACUGAGGAGGACUUUUCUUGAACUAUAGACGGACCAACAAUUAGAAAUACAAUAGCACCUUAGCUUUUUAUCAGACAAUCAAACAAUGCAGCUUACCUUAGGUAAGGCGUAUUUGGGGUGCUAAUACCUUCUCUUUAUGCAAUCAAUCCCCGUACUCGAUCUCUGAGACCAGUUAGAGUUCCUAGUGACCAAAAUACUAGGUGGCGACUCCCAUUCUAUUUUCCACCGAUAAAAGACAAGAUUUUCUUGUCUCCCCAUAUUUGCCACAUAGAUAUACAUUUAGAUUGAAGUGGAAUAUUCAUCACGACGCCGCACACGUGUGACAAUAUUAAGAAUAAUAUCUACAGUAAUAAAUUUUUUAUGUUAAUUAACAAUGAGACAAUAAUAAUAAUGAUAAUUGCUAUUGUAUUUUUUCCCCCUACAGGGUCUGCCGAUCCAGCCAUGCGAGCCUCUAAACCCAAGGGCGGUUAGAACAGACAUCGGCGGUCCGGUCUGCACCCAGUGCGCGGGUCAUGAGGCUAGGAGCGCGGGGUGCAGACCCAACCUCGCGUGUCUGCAGACCCCAGGAUUGCGGGGCUGCAGACCCGCUUGCCGUGGGGCUGCAACCAGGCGCGCGGGUCUGCCCCUAGCACCUAAGGCGUGGCAAACCCCGCGCCAGGUGUCUAUAUGCUAGGGCCUCGGCCAGCCCUAGCACCAGGUGACAGCAUCCUGGGGCGCGCGCAAGCGCGCAUGGCCAACCCAACGCCCAGGCUAGUCAGCCCAAGGGGGUGUGCGUCCACCUAGACGCUUGGGGCGUGCAAUAAGAUUUUUUUCAAAAAAUGUUUUUUAAAGAAUAAUAAUAAUGAUAAUUGUUAUUAUAUUUGUUUUUUCCAAUUUUCGUCUAUUCUUAAUAUUAAUACAUUUAAUUAAAAUAAUAAUAAUAAUAAUAACAGUAAGAAUACAAAUAAUAAUAUUAUCAUAUUAAUAAUAAUAUUAAACUUGUUUGACCAAAGUUGAUACAAUAUUAAUAAUAAUAUGAAGCUUGCUUGACCAAAGUUAAUACAAUAUUAAUAAUAAUAUUUAUCACAUAUUUUAUCAAAUUAUUUAUAAAUAAUAAUAUAUUUUUUAUGUUUGAAAAAUCCAUUUUUUAUAUACUCACAUCAAAAAAUUCAUUCGUGUAAAAAGGAAAUAAUAAUAUUAACUAUAUAUGCAUAUCCAUAAGAUCUCAAUGGAUUGCCCCUUACUACAGAAUGUAGCACAUCCUUAAGCUAGAAUAAAGUGCCUUCACUGAUUAAUCUAGCAUAUCUAAUUAUUUGAAAAAAAUUUCAAAUUUCAUUUCACCUUACAUAAGAAUUUAAUACUUAAUAUUAUUUGAGAAUACAUAAAGAUUGCAAGCAGCGGCUUUUAGUGAACUUUUGAUGACAUGAAACUGCCACAAAAUGGGUCCUAUCCGAGAGGGCGUUCUUUUCUGUUCUGUUAUCACAUAGAACUGAAAUCUGUUCACAGUACCCCUCCAAGAAAAUGGUCUCUCAAGGUAAGUCCUGAGGAAUUUGACACAAAUAAAACGAUAUAUCUUGUCCCAGUAUCAAAAAAAUGUUAAAAAAUGUGAGCAUAUGAACACAUGAAGUGGUCUCAGAAUCUAUGUUCCUAUUAUUUUUAACAAUACGGAAAGGCAUAACUAACUGUUUGUACUAUAAUAUUCUUUGGUAUAUUUAUUACCGAUGGACUCACUAGCAGACCAUAAAUUAUUGACGAGAGUUUUUUCGACGGACUGUCUCCAUCCGCGUGAGCCUGUCAACAAAAUACAUACCAAUGAACUGUGAGUGUGAAUAUCGACAAAAUUUUCUGUUAGUAAAACUGUUAAAUUUGGUAGUGAUCGCUUGAUCCGCCACUAGAAGUGAUGACAAGUUAUGACCAUUUUAAGUUGUUAUUCUGGUCUGACACAAUUAGACCUUCUCUUGGACCUAGACUUGUCCUACUAGUCUAUAAAUAUAUAUGUUAGAACAUCCAUAUCAUCUGUCUAGAGCAGAUACUAAUCUAAUUGUGACAGACCCACAUAUGGCAGCUCAGAAUCAUCUGUUAUCGCAAACCCAACUACAUCAUUAAUGGUCUCUCAAGGUAAGUCAUGAGGAAUUUGAAGCAUAUAAAACGAUAUAAGUUGUCCCAAUAUCAUAAAAAUGUUUUAAAAAAAUGUGAGUAUAUGAACCCAUGAAGUGGGAUCAGAAUCUAUGUUCCUAUUGUUAUUAACAAAACGGAAAGCCACAACUAACUGUUUGUACUAUAAUAUUGGGAGUGAGAGGUACAAUGUCCAGAAUGCUUCUAAGGAUAACCAUAUCCAUAAGAUCUCAAUGGAUUGCCCCUUACUGCAGAAUCUAGCGCAUCCUUAAGUAAAUAAAGAAAGCUAGAAUAAAGUGGCCUCAGUGAUUAUUUAGCAUUAUUAAGUAGGCCAAGUACUCUUCACUGCUUAUUUCCUAAUAAUUCCUUACUGUGGAAUUGCACUUACAAAUAAAGAACUUGUUCUUGAUAUUUUCGUACGGAAUUUCGUUUAUUCGGAUUAAUUUGAGGUUAACUAGAAUAAGAAAUAAAGAUAUAGGUUUUGGAAAGAAUAGAAAAAAAGAUUAUCAAAAGAAAUUAGAAAGGAAAAGUUAGUUAUAUGGAAUCAGAUUCACCAUUAAACUAAAGAGUCGGAAGGAAUCAUUUGUUCAAUAAUUGAAUGCGAUUUUUGUCUUAUAUAUAUUUUAGGAACUUUGCACUCGAUCGAAAGGGAACAUUUGUGCCACCAAGUACUAACAAUAACUGUCCAUAGUUUUGCAUGCAUAGACACUUUUUUUCCCGGUGUUAAUAGAUAUUUUCGGACCAACUUGAAAGCAAUUAUUAGAGAUAUCAAUUCAAUCUGAAUUCAAUAUGCAUACAUAUAUAUUACUUUUUUUUAUUUUAUAUUAAAUAUUAAAUAAUGUUUAGGAAAUAAAAAUCUAAAUGGAUCGAUGAAUAUAAUAUUAGUUUCUAAAUGAUGCAACAUAGCUAGAAGAAACUGAAGGUUAUGAGUGGACCUGAUAUAGCUAGAUGAGGGUCAAACCACCAACAAAUUACAUAGAUGACUUAACAUUUAUUUUUAUGGUUUAAUAAGAUAGGAAUAGGUUCAAGAAAAAAAUAUAGUCAUGCCAAACCAAUAAAGUAUCUAAAAGAAGCCAUAACUUGUCAUCCAAUCGUCAGAUAAAUCUCAAAUUUUUACUUAGAUUCCCAAAGCCCAUCUCUAUGGAGGAGCUCUUUGGCAAUCCAUCCUCUAAAUGGAUUUCCUCAAAUUAAGAUGAGAAGAUCCGGCUUAAGCCAAUUUUUUUGUUGUUUUUUUUUUUUUUCAAAAUUUUAUGUUUUAUCUCGGAUUUUCCAUUAUUUUUCAAAUUAAAGAAACCGAGAUAAAAUACCCUGAAUCUUCUUUCAUAAUUUGCUUUCGAGAAGGUGUAGUGUUUUUGCUACUUUUACUUUUGGACCUGACUUGAUUCCUGACCGGUAGAAACAGCAUUAGUCCAAAAGCAGGGAAGCUUUUGUUUUCUUUAAUCACAUGAUCAGAUAUUCUCAUUUAUGCCCAGCACAAAUUCAUAGAAGUGGCUCUAAUGAUUGGCUGACAACAGUUGUUAAUGAGCAGUGUUUGCGUCCCUUAUUUUUCAGUUUACUAAGUAUUUAGAACAUUCAAUUCCAAUCCAAAGUCGAUAAUAAUAAACUCUUGGUGAUGGUUUUGUUAUCGAAAGUGAUCGGACAUCGGACGACAAAAAAACCAGUAAAAUUUCUUGAACACAUCCAAAUCUAACAGUUUUUACUUUUUUUGUGUUUAAAUAUGAUAUUAAUAAACUAUUGAUGAUAAUCUUUUUUUCAUUUUAUGAUGUUUUUAUCGUAGUAGUGAUAAGAUGAAGAAAAGCUAUUGAUUUUUCUCUCAGCAAUGGUUUGUUUUAUCGUACACAAAUGUUGGGUGCUUUUAUUUACAAAAAGGAGUACUGUCUAACAAUAUUCAUUCCACAGCUGUUGUCAACCAAACCUUCCCGAUCUAUAUAAAGGUUGGUUUGGCCUCACACAUAUUAGCCAAGCAAGUAAACCAGCUCGACCUAUAUACAGCUACUUGUCUUGUGUAUUGACUGACAAAUUGUAGUUAACAUGGCACGUCAGGCAGACCGUCUUGCUAAGAUUGGGCUGGAGGGCUUUGCAGCCAGAGAUGAGCACUUCGGCCGGGCCAAGAGGCGGCCACCAGUGCUGAAGGUUCCCUAUGCUCAUCCGACAUAUUACUAUGCAAACCAAAUUCCUGCAACAGAAGUUAUCGACACCAACGAGGCAGCUCAACGCUACAAGGGGAGGGUUUAUCUCGAUUAUCCUAAGGGGAAACCAGUUCCGUUUUAAAGACCUAGUGAUUAAUCACUUAGCUUUCUUGUAUGCAUAACCUCCUCCAGUUGUGUUACCUUUAGUCCUGUACGAUAUUCUCCCUCUGCUAAACGUAUACGAGGAGAGGUUGCUAGAACUCGAGUCAGGAGCUUCUUGUUACUUCUUCAAAUAAACUUUCUGUGAUUUAUAUAUCAUUUUCUAUUUGUAUGUAUUGUCAUAAUUAUCACCUCUUACUUAGCAUGGAAUUGAAAGAUACAAUAUGCUCUUGAAAUGCUUUGAAGCUCUUCAAGGUGUGAUUUCACCGACUAAGUUGGAACUGUACAGAGCUCAAUGAUGAGCCGUAGGAGGCGUCUCUGAUUGUUGCACUGUAAGCAUGAGUGUACGUAUGAAUAUAACCAGCAGAUCCGCAAAGCACAAGUGAUGACAAGCUUCUUAACACGGCUACAUUUAACAGUUUUACCAACGAAAUUUUUUGUCGGUAUUUACUCUACCAUUCCGUCAGCAUGAAUUUUACCGACUGAUUUACGGACGGAAACAGUCGGUCGAUAAAUUCCUCUUGUCAGUAAUUUUAUUAAUGUCGGUAAAAAAAAACCGAUGGUUUUACAGACAGAAAAUGCAAGCCAAUUUUUUUUCCACUGGAAUAUAAAGACAGAAUUAUUUCUUCGGUGAUUGACAGUGGCAUAUGGAGUAAUUUUAUUCCAAACCCUCUAUAAAAUACCGAAGGAAUUAUUCCAUCGGUGAUGUAACAGUUGAAAUGGCAUAUGCAGUAAUUAUUUUUCAACUCUCUGGAAUAUAACGACCAACAAAGUUUGUCGGUAACUCUGUCCGUAAUAAUUAAAAAAUAUAUUUUAUACAAAAUUGUAUAAAAUUCAAGUAUGUGAAAAUAAAUUACCUAUGCUCAUCCGACAUAUUACUAUGCAAACCAAAUUCCUGCAACAGAAGUUAUCGACAGCAACGAGGCAGCUCAACGCUACAAGGGGAGGGUUUAUCUCGAUUAUCCUAAGGGGAAACCAGUUCCGUUUUAAAGACCUAGUGAUUAAUCACUUAGCUUUCUUGUAUGCAUAACCUCCUCUAGUUGUGUUACCUUUAGUCCUGUACGAUAUUCUCCCUCUGCUAAACGUAGACGAGGAGAGGUUGCUAGAACUCGAGUCCGGAGCUUCUUCUUGCUUCAUCAAAUAAAAUUUCUGUGAUUUAUAUAUUAUAAUUUUCUAUUUGGCUGGUCAAGUAUGCAUUGUCAUAAAUAUCACUCUGCUUCCCUGAUUAUUACCUUAUUCACCUAUUACUUAGCAUGAAAUAUUGAAAGAUUAAUGCAGUCGGAAGCACAACAAUAUAGCUGCAAG
rnacentral:lncRNA from 1 species